CUUUCUAUUAGGUUUUAUCGUUUUUUCAAGAAUAUGUUUGAUCUUCCUAUUGGAGACUUCAACUUGGCCACUUGUCUGGGGGUGAUAAGGUGUGACAACUUUAUGGGUUAUUUCAUAUUUUUUCAUUAAAUUUUCAGAGUGCUUAUUCGUGAAGUGUGUACCCCCGUCACUUAUGAUGGCUCUUGGGCACCCAAACCGACUAAAAAUGUUAUGUUGAAGGAACUUGAUCACAAUUUUAUGAUCAUUGGUUUUGGUUGCUAUUGCCUCUAUCCAUUUUGAAACAUAGUCUACUGCGACUAAAAUAUACUCAAAUCCAAAUGAGGAAGGAAAGGGUCCCAUGAAAUCAAUCCCCCAAGCAUCGAAAAUUUAUACGACAAGAAUAAGGGACAGGGGCAUCAUAUCUUUUCUUGAAAUAUUUCCUGUUUGUUGGCAUCGCAUGCAAUUAUGGCUGAAUUCAUGUGCAUCUUUGAAUAGUAUCGGCCAGUAAAAUCCACUCUGCAACACCUUUGCUGCAGUUUUUCUUUCGUUAAAAUGUCCCCCACAUGCCAGCGAGUGACAGAAGGUAAGAAUACUUUGGACUUUACACUCGGGGAUACAACGUCGGAUCACUUGAUCUGAGCAAUAUUUGAACAACUCUGGUUCUUCCCAGAAAUAGUAUUUUACUUGGGAAAGAAAUCUUUUUUUCUCUUGUUGGGUCCAAUAAGACGGGAUCUGUCCCAUUACCAAGUAAUUGAUUAUAUAAGCAAACCAAGGAAGAACAGUGGAAGAGAUUGAAAAGAGUUGUUCGUCCAGAAACCUAUCUUUGAUCGCUUCUUUAUUGUGUUCUAUCAAGAUCCUAGAAAUAUGAUAUGCUACCAAGUUUUCGGAACCCUUUUUGUCUAAAAUUUCUAAAUCAAAUUCUUGUAAUAGAAGGAUCCAUCUAAUCAGCCUUGGUUUUGUAUCCCUUUUUGAUAGCAGAUGCUUCAGUGCUGCAUGAUCAGAGUAUACCAAGACCUUGGAGCCCAGAAGGUAUGAUCUAAUUUUUUCUAAGGCAAACACAACUGCGAGCAACUCUUUUUCGAUCGUGGUAUAGUUCAAUUGGGCAUCUGAAAGAGUUUUGCUUGCAUAAUAUAUUACAUAUGGUUCUCGAUUAAACCUUUGCCCUAAUACUGCCCCUAUAGCAUAAUCAGAAGCAUCACACAUAAUUUCGAACGAUAGGGUCCAAUUCGGAGGUUUUAUGAUCGGUGCAGUGGUUAAAGCAGUUCUGAGCGUAUUGUAAGCAGCCAUGCAAUCUUCAUUAAAAUUGAAAGAAUUUUUUUUGGCUAGGCGAUUGCACAAAGGUCAUGAGAUUUUGCUAAAAUUUUUAAUGAAACGCCUAUAGAAACCCGCAUGGCCUAAAAAGGAUCGUACUUGUUUAACCGAGGUUGGGGGAGGUAAUUUCGAAAUUACUUCAAUCUUGGCUUUAUCUACUUCGAUCCCUCGCUCGGAUACAAUAUGUCCGAACACGAUUCCCUCACGAACCAUAAAAUGGCUCUUCUUCCAACUUAAAAUCAGAUUUGUUUCCACACAUCGUUGAAGGACCUUGGUUAGAUUCUAAAGACAGUCAUCAAAGGUAGGGCCGAAUAUCAAAAAAUCAUCCAUGAAGACCUCUAGGAAUUUGUCAACCAUAUCAGAAAAGAUGGCCAAAAUACACCGUUGAAAAGUGGAUGGUGCAUUGCAGAGACCGAACGGCAUACGUCUGAAUGCGAAUGUUCCAAAUGGGCAUGUGAAGGUGGUCUUUUCUUGAUCAGUAGGGAACACCGGAACCUGAUUAUAUCCUGAAUAUCCAUCCAGGAAACAGAAGAAACUGUCCUGCUAGCCAUUCUAAGAUUUGGUCAAUAAAAGGCAAAGGAAAAUGAUCUUUUCUAGUGACGGCAUUCAGCUUGCGGUAGUCAACAUAUACUCGUCAAUCAGUUGUUGUACGAGUAGGAAUUAACUCGCCCUCGUCGUCCUCUACUACAGUAAUACCUGAUUUUUUAGGUACUACCUGAGUUGGACUACCCAUUGGCUAUCCAAAAUCGGGUAGAUGAUACCAGCAUCAAGCCAUUUGACUACUUCCUUUUUCACAACUUCCCGCAUAUUCGGAUUCAAUCUUCGUUGCAUAUCCCUAUGUGGUUUGGCCUCAACCUCACAGUGAAUGCGAUGCAUGCAAACAGAAGGAUCUAUACCUUUUAGAUCGGCAAUCGUCCAUCCUAUGACUUCUUUAUGCUUUUUGAGCACCCUUACAAGUUGUUCCUCCUGGUCAGUGGUUAGGUCGGAUGCAAUGAUCACUGGUAAAGUAUCAUUAGGUCCGAGAAAAGAAUAUUUCAGCAUGGCAGGAAGAGGUUUUAGCUCUAGGAUAGGUGGUGCUUCUAAGGAUGGUACUAGAGGGCUUGAUUGAGUUGGUAAUUGCUCAUAUUUUACAGUCCAAAGGGGAAUGGUAUUAAACUUGGGAGGUUCUAGCAAAGCAUGUACUUCAGUGUACCCAUCAAUAUCCAAAUUAUCUACUCUAAGAUGUGUUAGGCAUGUCUGUAAAGGAUCUGAGUUGAGCAAUGCAAGGGCGUUAUCUUCUACAACUUCCUCUAACAUGUUGAUCUCGUUAUGGUCGUACGUGGGUGGUCCUUGAAAUGCAUUGAAAAUAUUUAAUCUCAGCUUCUUAUUUCCGAAAGAUACAUCCAUAACCCCGAUCCUACAAUUUAUACAAGCAUUAGCGGUUGCUAGGAAGGGUCUUCCUAGAAUAAUUGGAAUUUGGCUAGGGUUGCUACCAGAUUCCAUAUCCAGCACAAGAAAAUCAACAGAAAAGUAAAAUUCAUCUACUUUCACCAAUACAUCUUCUAGCAUUCCACGGGGUACCUUAAUGGAUCGAUCUGCUAGUUGUAAAGUUACCGUUGUAGGUUUUAACUCUCCAAAUCCAAAUAGAUCAUAAACAGAGCUUGGGAGAAGAUUGACACUUGCACCCAAAUCUAAUAAUGCCUUUUUAAUCGUGAGAUCCCCUAUGACACACGAUAUAAUUGGGGUACCUGGAUCCUUUAGUUUGGGUGGGGUACUUUGCUGAAAAACUGAGCUGGCCUGCUCAGUUAGGUGUAUUUUUCUUGGUAUCUGUGCUUUAGAUUUUCGUUUUUGUGUGCACAGAUCCUUAAAGAAUUUGGCAUAUGCAGGAACUUGCUUAAUAGCAUCAAGAAGCGGUAAGUUUAUUUGAACCUGUUUGAAAAGUUCUAACAUUUCUUUCAUCUUAAUACCCUUUUUGUCGAAAAACAAAAGAGAUUCUAAAGCACUGGAAAAUGGAGCCUUAGGUGCAGGUGCUGGAUUAACAGAUUCUUCCCUCUCUUUCGGUUUCUUCUUUUCUGGUGUGGCCGGCAUUGGUGGCUCCGGUUGUUGGGUUACUUCAGGUUGAUUUAAGAUUUUUCCGCUUCUAAGGGUCAUAAUCGAUUUGGCAUGUUCGAAAAAAAUUUCGGGACUGGUGGAGCUCUCAGCCAUGUACUUGUCCUUUUGGGUUAUUGAUGGGUUGACUUGGUAAUUUACCUUCCUCCCUUCUACUAAAAGCUGUUGCUAACUGUCCUAUCUGGAUUUCUAGCUUUGCUAUUGAUUGUGUAUGGGAGUGAAGGAGUUGGGUGUUCAUUUCUAGUCCUUUAAGUGCUUGCAGCACCUUUCCUUCAAAAGCUGAGCUAUAAGUAUUUAGGGUGGGUUGAGGACGGUUCUGGUAUUGUGACUGGGGUGGAUGCCUAGAAGUCGCAGCUGGAUAACCUGAUCCUUGUUGCACCGAAGGAAUCAUUGGUUGUAGUUUCUAUGAAAAAUUCGGAUGGUUCUUCCAUCCUAGAUUGUAUGUACUAGAAUAGGGAUUGUUCGUGCUAGAAUAAAGAUUAUUCCCUGGUCUAUGAGUGGUUUGGGCUUGAUGGACUUGCUCUUGUAUAUAUUCAGAAAACUGUGGUGCAGUUGGACACUCACUCACAAAGUGAGUGGGGCUUGAACAUAGUGCACAUAUAUUUUGCAUAUGACUAGAUUGAGAAGGAGAAUGUCCUAUACUUAAUAAUCGAUCUAAUUUUUGGGACAAUUCAUCUACCUUAUGAUGGAUAUCUAUGGCAUUUCCUACUUCAUAGAUUCCACCCCUCCUUGGGUUUAACAUGGGUUUGUCUCUAACAGAAACAGGCAUACAAUGUAAUGAAUUUUCACUUAAAGUUUCAAAUAGUUAUCAUGCCUCAUCUUCACUUUUGAGCAUGAAUGUCCCACCGCAUUAUGCAUCAACCAUUUGUCAGUGUCUUUCAGAUAGCCCAUCAUAAAAAUAUUGGACUAACUGCCACUUGGGUACAGCAUGAUGGGAACAUUUUCUAAUAAGUUUCUUUAACACCUCCCAUGUUUCAUGAAAUAUUUCUCCAUCUAGUUGGAAAAAACUAGUUAUGGCUUUUCUUAUUUGAUUAAUUUUUCCUAUGAAAAAAUAUUUCUUAAGAAAUUCUCCUUAGAGCUGGUCCAUGGAAUCCAAAGUAUGUAACCAAUAUUUGGCUUUGUCUUUGAGUGAGAAAGGAAAUAAUUUCAAUCUAAGGGCAUCAUCGGAGAAGUUGUGAAUCUUGACUGUUGAGCAUAUCUCAAGAAAUUCGUCAAGAUGCUUAUAAGGAUCCUCGUUACUAAGUCCAUAAAAUGAGGGUAACAUUUGAAUUAUACUGGACUUAAUUUUAUAUUGGGUGGCCUCUACAGGGGGCACUUGAAUACAAGAAGAGUAGGUAUAUGUGGAAGGAGUAAAAUACUCCUUCAACUGUCUAGACGGAUCUUUCUCCUGAUUUCGGUCCAUAUUUCUACGUUUGUUAGCUCUAAAGGUUCUUUCUAUUUCUGAAUCAAAAGGUAGGAUUUCUGGUCGUAACGAUCUACGAUCAAGCAUACACUUUAAAAUAGAAAAUUUUUAAUUUUUAUAGAAUUUUUUUUUAAUUUUAAAUUUUUCAAACACUUACUCAAACAACUUAUUUCUACCCUAGGUUAUCUUAAAUCUAGACAGCUCCUAACUGCCAAAGCUAUCUUGGAGCCCUCCAAGUUAGAAACCGACUAACUAACUAGCCAGGUAAGGGUAAGAUUGAUGGGAGGCUCCUCGUACUUUCGCAACAGACCUAAUUAGAGAACCAUCUUUCUUCGGGCUCUUGUCCCUGAACCCCUUUCCUAGACACCAAUCAACUAGUCAAUCCUGAUCCGGUCCAACUCUGUCGAGUGCCUUGUCCUAGUGAGCUCGAACACCUUAGUGGUCAACGUCUAAUUAAUCUUAAGUUAGGCUUAGGUAUGCAAAAUGAAGAUUAUGGUUUGUCGGCUAAGGGUGAUCAAAUCUCCACUUUAUCUGAUUAAUGGGUUAAAUACCCUUAAAGUUAAUUAUGGAUAUGCAAUGCAAAACAAAUAAGGUGUCCAAUCGAGUUAAAAUUUUUAUAUUUUAGAUUAUGCUAUAUUAAUUAAGUGUUAUGAAAUAUCUUUUUUUUUAGGAUUUAUGGUUCUAUCUUUUUUUUAUAGAUAUUUAUUUAUUUAUUUAUAUAUAUAUAUUUUUAGGUUUUACAAAAAAAUAAAUUUAAAUAAUUAAGCAAUAAAUCACUAAGCUAAAAAAAAUCUCUAAAAUUAAAAAGCACUAAAUUAAUUAUGCAAAUAAGGUAAUCUAGUUAGGAAGCAAUAAAAAAAAUUAAAGCAAGAAAUAAAAACUGAAAAGCUGAAAAAUAUAUGUUUUUUUCUUUCAAAUUAACUGUAUCAAGAUCCCCAGCAACGGCGCCAAAAUUUGAUGCACGUCGUCAGGGCAUCAAAAAAAUAAAUCCAAUUCUAACUUAUCACAUAGCUAGGGUGAAUCGGGAUCAUAUCCACGGGGAUCUCGGACAAUUGUUUAAUAAUUAUUAAAAAAAGAAGAUAAAUUUUAAUUAAUUAUUAAGAAAGCAGUAAUUUUAAUUUAAUUCACAAAAAAAAAUCAAAUAGGAAAGAAGCCUCGAAAAUUCAGAAUCCACCAUGCAAAAUAGAUUUUAUAUUUUUUUUUACUUUUAUGUAGCAAUGAUAUAUUUGUAAUUGAGAUGGAGUGUAAUUUACCUCGGAUAGGUAUGAACCAUAUCCUUGGAUUAUGGCUCAUCCAUCCAGAGUAUAGAUUACCUUAUCUCAACUACAAGUUAAAGAUUUGAACUAAAAAUAUAAUAAUUUAUCUCUCCUAAGUACGCACCGUACCUGUAGAUCACGGCGUGUCUGUGAAGAGUAUAGGUUGUGCACGCUGAAUCCAAACCUCUAAAGAAGAAAGAAUAUCAAAUAAAUAUGAAGCACAAAAUAAUUCUUUAUUUCAUUGCAACGAAAAAUAAAUACAAGAAAAAAAAAUAAAUUUAUGUUGCUGGCUUCAUCGUCUUCUCGAGUUGGAGAAAUCUAGCCUUCCAUGGAACUCUUACGCACUGACAUCCUGUUGCUGAGGAGACUCUUGGACAACAACUGUAAAAUAUUUGAUGGCAACAGAGGGAGAGACAUGGAUUUUGAUGUGGAGAAGAAUGAUGAAGGUGUCCACCCCCCCGACGUCUUCUACGAUCUUCUUUUUAUAGACUUUAUUUUACGCGUUCAAGCCGUAUUUGUUUCGCAUCUUAACAGCCUCUUCUUAUCCGUAUUUUUUUCAUAAAACCGUACGUCUUUCCAUGUUUAUUUUAUGUUUAGCCGUUCUUUCUACGAUAGCUUCCACGGAAUUUAAACCACGCUCACCGUUUGCCAAUGCAUGUCCAUCCCAUGCAUUCAAGUUGCUGGGUCCCACAUACUUUUUAAAUGCCUUAGUGAUCACACGCCAAGCCCAGCCAACAUCUUCUUCAUUUAAUAUUCCCAUGUCGGUCUCUACUUUAAAUCACCCAUUACGUGAAACUUGUUGUUGACUUUUUAAACUAUUCCCUUUUCAAACUUCAUGUGCUGUGGACUAGACCAUGCAACCAACUCUUGUAUACCAAAGCUUCUGUACAUUGUGUGGGCUACAUGAAGAGGUUUUGGGCCUUCCAUUAUUUCAGGUUUUUGAAUUUUAUUCUGAACUUGAGUUAGGCUUGAUUUUGAGCAUUUCUUGGGUUUGGACUCAAUCUCCUAAUUACAUGCAAAACAAAUUAAGAAGCAUUAAAUACCGACUAAUAAAGAUUAAAUAAUAUAAUAUUUAAUACUUCUAACAUUAUAAUUCAUGUAUUGAUCAGUCGUCGGAUGCAUCAACUAGCCCAAAUUCAGGAACAAUAGGUGCCUCAUGUGGUGGGACAUUCUCUUCUGCACUAGACUCCCCACUAUCACUGCCAUCAGACUCCGCAUCAUCAUCCUCAUCUUUUUCAUCAGUAGGAUUAGGAUCAUAACUGACAACAGCUUCAUUUUCGAACAAAGUUGUAUCAGCCACUGCGGUUCCCAAUCCUCCAAUCCGGACAUGGCAUGCAUGUGGCUGAUUAAGUGAUACAGGGUCAUUAGCUUCAUGCUCCACAUGCUCCAUGGUAGUUGCCACAUAACUAGGACCGACCCCUGCAUCAUCAAAUGCGGCAUUACUUCACUAUUGAUACACAGCCUCUUCCCCUACUAUGCACCAAUGAUUAUCAGUUAUGGAUAUAGCUGGAGUGCCUCCAUACUCAUAUCCAGUUUCAUCGAUCAUUGGAGAUGCAUCAAGUAGAGAUGCCCCCAUGCUUGACUGUGUAAAUAGAGUAGAUACAUACUGAGACACACUUACAUGCUGUUCACCACCACCUGAAACUUCUACCACUGCUGGCUCGAUAAAAAUUUCAACUGCCAGAAACAUCCCUUGUAAUGGGAUGCCCAAGACGGUAUACAUUGUCUGAUCAUCUUUAAUAGGUAUAACCAAAUAUUGUCCAACUGUAUGAAUUGAAAAUCUACACAUUAGAAAAACUCCACAUUGAUUGGGAUCCCAUCUAGUGACAGUAUAGCAGAUCCACACAAGUUCUUGAUAUGUUGCGUUACGAUCUACCAUGGCCAUCUGAGUCUGUCCACCGUUAUAAUAUGCACCGUUAGCAUCACGAUUGAUCCUUCCAUCCCAAUGGAAGAUAACAGUGAUAAAUCUUGAAUCCAUUUUUCAAAAAUUAUUGUGAGAACUAACUGCAUUAAUAAACAAAUUGUAUGGCACAUUUUUUAAAAUGAAUCCCUAAGUUUGAAAUGCAUGGCAGAUGCAUUUCAAACUUGAGUCCCUAAGUUUGACAAGCAGAUCUUCAGCAAUGAAGACAUUGGGUCUUUGGCUAGCUGCAGUUUUUCGUGCCAAUAAGGUGAUCGUGAUAGAUUUUGCAAAAAUUCCUACAACAGAGGCAAACACAAAGGUGUUCCAUCGAGUUUUUUGGACAUUCGAUCCAUGCAUUCAGGGCUUCCAGUUCUGCCGCCCACUGAUUAAUAUCGAUGCAACGCAUUUAUACAGCCGAUAUAAGAAUACUCUCAUGAUAACUGUAGCAAGAGAUAGAAAUGAGAGUAUCUAUCUGCUAGCAUUUGCCAUUUGUGAAGACGAGAGCCAUAGUAGUUGGUCAUGAUUUUUAUGGCAUUUGCACCAUUAUAUGACACAUGAUCGUAUGGAGAUUAGUAUAAUUUCAAACCGGCACAAAAGAAUAUUAGCUGCUAUUUCAGAUGAAUUUGUUGGGUGGACACCACCAUAUGGGUAUCACAGAUUAUGUCUUAAAUAUAUUGAGGCUAACCUAUACGGUCGAUUUCAUGAUGCAGUAUUUUUUACUUAUUUUCAUCAAACUGCAAAAUAAAAUCAGCCCUAAAAGUUUGAUUGAAGCAUGCAACACAUUGAGAGAACAUGACCAAUUGCUUCCAAUAUCUGAAAUCAUAUCCACUUGACGAUCUGAAUAAAUGGUCGCUGAUGCAUGCAUGGGUGGAUGUAGGUAUGGAAUAAUGAAUACCAAUCUAUCUGAAAACUUCAAUAAGGUAUUGAAGAGGGCUCGCUCAUUGCCCAUUACCACUCUUGUUUCCCUUUCCUUCACACACAUGUCGAAGUGGUUUAGCAUCAGAUGUGCAAUAACGGCACGGAGAAGGGAGGCCGGCAGGAUAUUCAUAGAUAAGAUUAAACGAAAGUUAAAUGAACGCCAGCCAAAGUCAAGAGAGUAUUGUGUGGUUAAGUACAAUAAUCAAUCGAACUUGUAUGAGAUUCGGUUAAGACGAAGAUAUUAUAGCCCCGAUGAACCUGAUUAUAUACAGAUAGUCGACUUGGGCAUGCACAUGCACAUGUAGGAAGUGGCAGUUACUACAUUAUCCAUGCUCCCAUUUGUUUGCUGUAUGUGCCAGUGAGAACUUGAACUGGAAGCAGUUCAUUGACGACUGUUAUACUAUUGUACAUUAUGAGCAGUCAUAUGCAUCUACCUUCCAUCUCUCAGAGAGUCCAUGUUAUUGGACUGAGUAGACUGCAUCUAGACUCAUACUGCACCCAUCCACAAGAAGACAAGAAAAGGGGCAUCCACAAUCGAGGGGAUCCAAGAUGAUAUGGACGCAAUGGAGUGCCCAAAUAUUGUACGGUGCGGAUUGUGUAAAGAGAUAGGGCACAACCAAUGUAGAUACCCCCAAUGGCACUGAUUUAUGUAUUUAUUCAUAUUAUAUAGACUGACUUUAUAUAUCAUUUGUGUUCCUUUCAAAAUAUUUUAGUUAUAUAAUCAUGUCGUGUAAACUUUUUUCAAAUUAUCCUAUGUAGCAUGUGUUGCUUAUCAUCUUUGAUAUUUUUUGGUAGUAAGAUAGUCUUUUUAUUUUGUGCCUUAGACAUGGUAAGUUCGGACUCCGAUGUUCAUCCGGAGUCGACAGACCCUACCAUGUUGUAUCUCCAGACUCGACACCACAGUGAUCUUAUAUAUUCUGGGGAGGACAUAGGGCCCCUAUGCCGUAGACACAGAGGCUCGACAGCUAUGCACGUUUGAUGGCCACAUGAGAGGAUCCGAGAAUAUCUUCAUAUGGCUGAUUUUGAUGGAGUAUUUAAAAUAUAUGAUAUACAACUAGAUUGGGCCCUCAUCACAGCCAUGGUAGAGCGAUGGCAUCAGGAGACAUAUUUUUCACUUGCGCAUCGAGGAGGCGACGAUCACGUGGCAGGAUGUUGCUGUUCUUCUAGGAUUACAGGUGUACGGGCCUGCCAUCACCGAUACUGCAGGAAUCAUCUAGUCAGAUCUAUGUGAAGAGUUAUUCGGGAUUAGACCGCCAGAGUCGAUGUUGUCGGAAUCUUUGCUCAAAUUUUACUGGCUUCGCGACACGUUCCACCACUUACCGAAUGAUGCAGAUGAUGAGACCGUACAGAGGCAUGCUUGAGCAUUUAUUCUUUACCUUAUCAGAGGUCAUCUGUUCACCGAUAAGUCCGAUUUCUAUGUGCAGUUGUUGUACUUACCCCUGUUACGUGAUCUCCACAUGUAGACAAUUGAGUUAGGACAAUGCUACCUUAGCCUUCUUGUAUCGCGAGCUCUACAGGGCCACCAGACUAGAUGCAUGUGAGAUAGCUAAGCCAUUGGUCUUACUGCAGCUUUAGGUGUGAGGGUAUUUACACAUCGGACGACUAGAUAGAAUGCUCCCCAGGGUAAGAGCCCACCAACCAAUGAUGGGAAGUGAUGUAGUAGGACAUGGCCUGUUAGAUGAAAAUGAUACUGGUUUUGAGGACCCAUUUGACGACAUACAAUACAACCAGACUGAUCUACUGGAACGCAGGUAUGUAAUCAGUAUCACUGAUUUUAUAUGUAAAUGACUACAUAUUUUAGCACAAUAACAUAUUGACUUUGUUUUGAAAAAGUGAAGGACUCGACUGAUUGGUGCUAGCAAUCCAUACAUAGUCAUAUACUAUAGAAAUCAACUUGACCAGCAGCGCGACAAUCAGAUGGUGUAGGUGCCUUACACACCAAAGAUAUUAGCCACAUUGCCCGAGGUAUGCCGAUCAGAUCAGUACAUAUGAAGAACACGCACAUCUCUCAUUUGCUUCGACAUCGUGGAGAUCUAUUGUCCGAAGCGUAUGAUGCGAUAAUUUGGCAUGCAUCAGGACGCUCUCCCAGCAUGUGACACUCGUGACGGUCUCUACAAUUUUGAUCGACGAGGGCAGCAUCACCACAAUUGGGGUAGAGAGCAUCGGGAGCAUAUUGACGCAUUGGAGCGAUGAGAGAAUUUGAUUGUGGAUGGCCCAAAUAUGCUCCCCAUGAUGGAUUAUUAUGAUCCAUAUAUGGUGUAGUACAAGAGCAUCACUAGAUGAUUUAUCUUGCCAUUGAUGAGUGAAUGGUCUAGGAUGAGGUUCCGUCCUUCAAACAGCGUGAUGGACAUUGUGGUAAGUACAUUUUGCUUUUGUCCCACUUUGUUAUGUUGUUAUUGUUAUAUUUAUGAAUAAUAUUUGUUUUCUUUUUCAUACUGAUAGUUUCAGAGGAUCACAUCGCUACACCACCGAACAAGGAGCGGCUUCCAUUUGAUCACUGUUGGAUGCAAAGAUCGAGCAUUUGCCAAUAUUAUGGACAGUCUUGUCAACACUAUGCGAAUCAUCUCAGAGGAUAGACGACUUCAGACUGCACCAUCGGCGGAUGAUCCAAGUACCUCAUCAUAUGCCCAGCACACCUCAUAUCCUGGCUUCUCGGACUUCAACCUCCCCAUAGAUGAUGUGUCUAUAUCACAGAGGAUGAGCAAGCCAGGAGACACGUCGUACCGACCCGAUGAACAACACAUCAAUCAGCAUGGGAGGGCCAAAAGCAGGAGUCGACUGAGAGUUUUUCGAGGUAGAUGCCAGGCACAUGUUGAUAGGCCGAGCAUGCCAGCACCUCCCUCCCCGCCAGUUGAUACCAUGCCUAAGCCAUCACGACAGCAACCAGAGGUGACACACGUUUACGAGAGACGGACGCGGAGGCUCCAGUAUCUUGAUAUAUACGUCUUUCGAUAGUUGUGAUACUUGUACAUAUUUUUUUUGCUAAAAAAUUUUGUAAUCAUCAACUAUUGGAUUACAUUAUUUUGAAAUUAAUGUUAUAAUUUUUUUUUAUCUGAAUGCACAUGAAUUAAUUUUUGUUGGUUAUGCAAAAAAUUAAUUGUUGAGCUUGAUAUAGAUUAUAUGGCUGGAGUUUGGGAUUGUCAAGCAUUUCUAAAAUAUCCUAUCAUGUUAAUUAUAAACAAGGUUGGAGAAAUUUGAAUUUGCACCUCAGGAAAGCCAAGAAUUUUUGAAUAGAUAAAGAUGCUUGGAGAAUGCCAAAAUGAGCAUUUCAUCAAGUUGGAGAUGCAAAUAAUAUUUUUGAAUAAAUAAAGAUGUUGUUUUGGUUUAUAGCACAGCAGGGGUCGACCCAAAAUAUAGAUAAAGAUGCUGUUUUGAUUUGUAGCACAGCAGGGGUCGACCCAUGGGUCGAUCCGUUCCAAGUUGCUAUACCAAGUUGCCGUUGUGCCGUGGGCAAAGGGACGUUUCAAAGUCGCCCUAUUAAAGGGCGACUUAUAGAGGUGCCCUAUCACAGGGCGACUUAUAGAGUCGUCCUAUCAUAAGGCGACCUAUAUAGGAGCUCUACGAUAAGGCGACUCAUACUAUCAUCCACCUAUUCCCCAGCUGGCAGUAAGAUUGGUGAGUCAACAUGAAAAGUCGUCCUAUCAUAGGGCGACUUUGUUUUCGACAGUAUUUUCGUAAAUAAUUUUGAAAGGACAUUAUUUUCAUAUUUUUUUUUAAAUUAACAUUAUUUUGGUAAAAAAUCCAACCUAAAAUAGUGACACCUGGCAGAGGCACUAUAUAACACUUGGUAGCAUGAAAUUUAUGAUGCACAUAUUGCAUUCUAAUUUGUUCAUUCUGUAAACACAAAAUCCUUUUCAUCUGUCAGGCACACUCCAACAUUUAGAAGACAUGCCAUUUUUAAUGCUCUUGUCCAUAGGUCACCGACAGAACAAUAAGCAUGUCAUAUACAUAUUCAUAUAUGUAUACAUGUAGGGGUAUAAAUGGACUGGAUUGGAUUAUACCUAAAUCCAACUCCAAUCUGAAAUAUUUUGGACUUGAAAACUUGGCUUCAAAACCAAACCAAAUACUCUACUAGUCCAAUCCAAUCCGGUCCGAAAAGUUUGGAUUGGAUUGGACUGGAUUUUUGGACUUUUAUAUGCAAUAGACUGCAAUUUGGAUCAUAAUUCAAAAGUAAGUUAUAUGAAUUCGAAACAUAUACUAUUUAUAGGUACUCUAUAAUAUCGCCCUACAUCUAACAACUAAUAUUAUAAUAGUGAUUGAUAAGAAAUAAAAAAUAUAAAUUUCAAUACCAAGGGUCUCAACAAGUCGUGCUAUAAUAGCAUCAUGUCAAAAAUAUAAGUUCUAGAUUUUCAAGAAAAAUUACAUCAUCAAAAUAUAACAAGUUCCAUAACAUUUAAAAGAAACUAAACUUGAAACACACACACAAAUAUAUAUGUGUGUGUGUGUGUAAAAUCCAAAAGUCCAAACUAGAAGAAUGGAUUGGAUUUGGUUUGGACCCAUAGUUUGGACUUUGGAUUAGAUUUGGAUUUUAUAAUAUUAGAUCCAAAUCUAAGUCCUAAGUCCAAAAUGUUUAAAAAUUGACUUCAAAUCCAAAACCAAAGUCCAAAAAUCCGAUCCAAUCCUCUAGUUCGUUUGGAUCAGUUUGGAUUUUGGAUUUUUUCCAAUCCGCUUACACCCCUAUAUACAUGUAUUACGUAAUGUCUUAACUGUCAGUGCUAGAUAGGCAAUAUUUCUCAAGAGAUAUCAAAAAAGAUUAGGAUCAUACCGACAGCAGUUAGCAACAUCCCGGUGCACAGGACCCAUAAUCUGCAAACCAUAGCCGACCAAGUUAGAAAAAACUCCAGAAGAGAAAUCCAAAUAAGAGGAAUGGAAAAAAUCCUACUUGUUGAAGCAUAGAAAAUGCUUCAGAAAAAAGCGUGUAGGCUUCAUUUAGCAAUCCCUGAAACAUGAGAACAUCAUAUCACAUACUGCAUCAGCAAACUAGAAAUUAUAUACCCAAAAAAAUUGCUCACAUAGAUCAGCUAAGUUCAUACCUUGCUUAACAGGCAUGCACAACACAGGCGCACACACACUCACACUUAAAAAAACUCUUGCAAUAAUAAAUCGUCUCCAGGAAAUUCAUCUCACAUACCUCAGCCAGUCAGGCUUUCCCUGCUUCCAUGAGAUUCCUUGCUUCUGAGCACACUGGAACUGAAUGCUUUAUAACUGGUUGGAGAUUUAGAAUAUCUGAGGUUCAAAAUGGUGCUGAAGAAUCAAGAUCAAAUGUAUGUGCAGCAAUUGUUACUCCUACCUGUCACAAAGAGAGUAUGCAUGAUAUACAGGCUCUGCCACCGCAAAAUUCUAAAAGUUGCAACAUCAAUGUUGAAAGACAAGAGCAUCAUCACAGCACUAUCAAACAAACCAUGCAAAACAGGCAUACUUAACAUGUACCACAACUCUCAGUCACUUUUAAUACACAGUAUUAAGCACUAACCUACAUAUGUAAACGAAAUAAUUAACAGGAAGAACUCAAACAUGGCUUUUAUUGUAUAUUGUAAAACCUAGAUUAAAAAAUAAAAUAAAUAUCAUCUAACAUCCUGCAGUAUUGAGACAAGUUUCAAGUAUUGAAGUGUUCAAAAAAAAUCCAAGACAGGAUCUUCAAGAAUUUGACAUGGAAACAUCAGUAUCCGUAUGGAUGUUUGUGUGCACGGAUGUAUGCAUGCAAUGAAUAAUCAGUAAGACCAAUUCCUGGCUAAAUGUUAUAAAACAUCUACCAAGUUUUAUAUAGAAGUGCUAAAGGUUGAGAUAUGAUCGUGAUAGCAUCAAGAUCUGAUGAUUUUAAGUGUCAAGGAUUAUCAUGAGUUGUGUAAAUAUCCUAGUCUAUUAACUGAAAAUGUAGAAUGUCCAGGUAACAGUGGUAAGUGGUAACUUUGCAUGAAAUUAGCAUAAGGUGUCCUAAAAAUAAUAAAAAAUCAAAAGCUGAAUUGAGAAUUCCAAUCAUCCUGCAUAAAAUUACAAUGUGGUUUCAAAUGGACAUGCAUUAUUAGUGGGGUAUGGUAAGAAAAAAGCUGACAGCAAUAAUAGACUUUACCUUUUGGCACAAAUUACGAAUGACUGCAAGCUUUUUUACUCGAAUCCUUGCGUCAUCUGGUAAUUCAAACUAGAUCAAAGAAAACUCAUUCAGGGCACAGGAUUGUGUAGGUUGUUUCAAAAUUUGAACACGAGAAGCCAAGGUUGUCAAAAUUGCUGCUUAGGUCUCUAGGUAGUCCACCUAGGUGCCUAGAAUGGCGGAACUGCAUAGGCAAUUUGCAAUUAGGUAAUCAUAUAUAAAUAUUACUUUAACCCCUUCUUUUUCCGUUACAAACUUCCUCCGUUCUAUCAGUUUUGAAUGUUUGUAACUUAAGUUAUAUGGGAGUGAAAAUGACAUUAUAUAUGUCAUAACUUUCCUAAUUUAUAAUCCCUCAUCUCACCAUACAAUUUCUCUCCCCUCUCUUCUCUUCAAAUGAUCUUUCUUUUUUCCCCUAUUAUUCCAGUUCUUUAUUUCCCUUUUUCCCUUCUAUUACUUCACUAUUAGUCCUCUUGUUCCUCUUCUUUACCUCAGUUUUUUCUUGUUUUCUCUAUUUUACUUCUUCUUGUUAACCUUUUCUUAUCCUUUUCAUCUUUUCUCCCUUUUUUAUCCUUUUUUCAGUAUUUUCACUGUCUCUCUGCUGCUGAAGAACUUGCUUUUGUUAUCUUAUCACACUUAUAUUUGACUUGGUGGACUUGUGCGAUAAUGAAAUGUUCAUUUGGUUUCGAUUAAUUUUAUCCCCUACUAUGCUAUAGUAGUUUAUUAGGUUUUUGUAUGUAUGACUUAAAGAAUAAAAAUUAAUCAUGUUAUGUCAUGACCUUUCAUGUGUUUUUUGUCUUUUUUUUUUUUUCCAAAUGGACUGCUUAUUUCAGUAGGUGUUCCACCUAAUCAUCUUGGCAGUGUCUAAGCAAUAAAGGACUCUGCCAACCAGGGAUUGCCUGGCCUCCUUGCAAAACUUAGGAGCAGCUAUCUGAAUAAUGUUACCUAAUCUUUCAAUCUAGCAAAUUCUCGAAUGUUAGACCAUAGUCCUUCAGAGGUCCAGAACAAAUGUGCUGAGUGACCUUUUGCAGAUGAUGCUCCAUGACUCCACCUCAUUUGCCCCUUUCCAGACUUAAGUGGAGAUUGAUGGCUCUCUUGGCCCUGAGAUAAAAGUAUGAAGGUGAAAUGGAAACUGAAUCAUCAGCAGAACAUUCUAAACUCAAAAGUACUAUUUUUUUGUUUUAAUCAUGUGUAUUUAAAAUGUCCAUAUAAGUUGCAGAAGAAGCAUAAAUAAUGAAUUGAAAUUGUGGUGUCAUAGCUAGGAGCAGCAAACUGGAUUCAGAAUAUCAGAUAUCCAUGUGAUUGGACUGCAUGUAAAGCAGUUAAACUAGCGUUAUAUUGAUACAUUUGAUUAGACCAUUACAGAGGACACAUGAUCUUUCUUCUCCUGAUAAUUUGCCUUUAGCUAUGGCAGGCAUAUCCUUAGAAGCCAGAAAGCCAGGACCAAAAACAAAUCCAGAGAACAUUUUAAAUAUAAUAGGCAAAGCCGGCAACGGGUUUGCCGACUUCACACGAUUAAAAAGAAAAAAAAGAUGAAACAGGGGCAAACCCCUAUUUCGCAUGGGACGAGGGCAGAGGCCCUCUUCCAUCCUCAGCCGCCCUCAAGCCCCUCAGCGCGGCCUCGAACGGCCUCCGGCGGUCACUGGAGGCUCUCUCCUCCUCUCCCUCUCCUUCUCUCCCCCCUCCACUCACUCUCUCUCUCUCUUCCUCUCUUUCUUCUCCCUCUUUCCGAGACGACUGCUAUGUCGUUUUCCAUACCAGAACCAGACUGGUUUUCCGCCAAUACGGUUCGGCAUGGCCUGAACCAUCCAGUUCAGGACGGAACUGGAUGGUUCAGAAAAUGCUGUCAACCAUAUUGAAAGCCUAACAAUUGCCUCCCAAAUUUGUCCAAAAAACUAUUCGUCCAUCUUGCAGCCACUGGAAGUCUGGAAGUAUUGAAAACACCAUAUUAAUUGGAUAAGAUGGUUGCUGCCAUAGCCAUUGCAGCUAUAUAAGAUGGUCACUAUUAUAGCACUUGUAGCUACUAUACACAUUUCUUGAUAGCCAUCCUAAACAAUCCAAUAAGCACCUCCAUGUUGAACUGUAGAAAGUGCCUCCAGCUACAAAUGUUCUGAUGAUAACCUUCUCACAAGAAAUCAGUAAGAUAAAAGCAUAGAAAAAUUUUGAACAUGGUUCACCAUCCACAUACAAUAAACACUCAAUUGAAAUCCAGAGAAUUGUUGCUAAGACAAUCAAGAAAAUUCACAUCAACUAUAGAGGACCUCAUAUCGCAUAUAUUAAAUGGACCUAAAACAAUACUGAUCAAGCAGCACCUCCAACAUUAAGAGACUUGAAAAAUUGAAAGUUAUGAUAAACCAAAGUUCAUAAUCCGAACAAGAAUUUGAUGUUUUCUAAUGGAAAAGAGAGUCAAACCAUAACAGAUAGUGACAAAGAAAAGGCAUAAAAGGAGAAUCUAUAAAAUUAGAGUAAGUGACUCACCUUGGAGUAAAAUGAUUCAUCCCAACAAAUUUUCUUGCCAUUGUCAACAGAACCAUAUAGAAGGGAAUCUGAUUUAUCUCCUUGAAGGAUGCCAGGGAUAAUGUGCUGCAAAUUGAAUAUGAAUAAGUGACUAAUCAAAAAGCUGAAGCUUGCAAUGAUACAAAAAAAGUUAUCAUAAUACAAUGGCUUCGGAAGUAAAAGGAAAAAGGGUUUAGCAUUAUAAAAUGUAAGAGGAAUAAGUCUACUUAGUUACAGGAUAAAAAGGGCAUCUCAAUGCACGAGCUCCCACAAUUGCUAGGUCUGAGGAGGGUUAUAUGUACACAACCUUACCUGUGCAUACGGAGAGUAUGUUUCCAUGUUUCAAACCUAUAACACCCAGGUCAUAAUGAAGCAAGCUUACCACUGCACCAAGGCCCACCCUCUUGUUUAAUUAUAGGAUCAAAAUGAAAAUUUGCAUUUAUAAAUAUUAAAAAAUAAUGGGUUUAAUCAAAAAGAAAAAGGAAAAAAUUAUAACCAAAGACACCUUAAGUCUUUUAGAAAUUCUAGAGAAUAAAAUCAAAAGUUUGCAUCCCUUCACAUAGCCAAGCUUAGUCCACUCAUAAACACAAACGGAUGGCAUAAGAGAACAUAGAUAAUAUCAUCCACUGAGGCAACUUCUUAUCCUUUACAUUCUCCCUAUGAUGCACUCCUGCAUCGGCCCACACAAACAAACAUAUUCUAGUGUCUAACCCCUUGCAUUUCUCCCCCCACUUUUAUCAUCACCCUUGCCUCUUUUCUGGAUGUAGCUUAUGUUUUGGUCCCAUAGGAAAAAGGAAGGUGCAAUUCUCUUUUUAAAUUUUGAAAGUGUGGUUGUAUAAGGUUAUAAGAAGUUUAGAACUCCUCAUUUUCGAAAUAACUACCAAAUUAUAGUUGAAAAAGGAAAGUGAAAGAUUUCAGACUCAGGAAAGAUUAGCUGAUACUUGAGAAGAAUACAGAACAUCUGAAUAUGAUAUGACAAGAAAUAUAAAGCAAGCCAUUAUGUUGAACCACUAAUUCAUAAUUUAAUUAAGAAAGCAUCAAUCGUGAAAGAAUACCAGCUAUAACCAAAAUUGGUGCAUGCAAUCAUACAAUGGAGCAGUUGAAACUUGAAUAUACAUAUACAUAUACAUAUACAUAUACAUAUACAUACAUACAUACAUACAUACAUAUAUAUAUAUAUAUAUAUAUAUAUAUAUAUAUAUAUAUAUANNNNNNNNNNNNNNNNNNNNNNNNNNNNNNNNNNNNNNNNNNNNNNNNNNNNNNNNNNNNNNNNNNNNNNNNNNNNNNNNNNNNNNNNNNNNNNNNNNNNNNNNNNNNNNNNNNNNNNNNNNNNNNNNNNNNNNNNNNNNNNNNNNNNNNNNNNNNNNNNNNNNNNNNNNNNNNNNNNNNNNNNNNNNNNNNNNNNNNNNNNNNNNNNNNNNNNNNNNNNNNNNNNNNNNNNNNNNNNNNNNNNNNNNNNNNNNNNNNNNNNNNNNNNNNNNNNNNNNNNNNNNNNNNNNNAUAUAUAUAUAUAUAUAUAUAUAUAUAUAUAUAUAUAUAUAUAUAUAUAUAAAGACAAUCGGAAAAAAACUUUUCCCAAAAUACCUCAUCAAGAGCCAUUGUAAUCUAAGGGAAAAAAGGAUCUCUAUGACACACCUGUGCUACCACUCUGUAAUCUCUGUAAUCAAUUAUAGCCAUAGCCAGAUUAUAAAGUCCAGGAACAUCAGCUUUCUGGUAAGGUUUAGUUCCUUUCAGGUUAUUAUUUGCAGAAGCAUAUGUAGCUUGUUCAUUGUCAGAAAUGUGUCUUGGCAGAUGCAUCAGAAGUAUCAUCUGAAACAUUUUGAAAUUGUUCAGUGUUCAGGCUCAUAGACAUGCAUGGCUGGAGUUAUUACAGGUCCCAUGGAAUGUAUUACCUGAUGCCUUUGCCAAUAAAACAGGUGAGGUUGCAUCACUGCAGUUGUCAACACCAUGCCAAGAGUUUAACUUAAUACUCGAUCCUUGAUCUUCUGAUAUCUGCCCAAGGUCAGCAUCCACAGCAAAACUAAAGAAUAUGUUAUUGUGUACAUACCUGUAAGAAGAUAGGAUGGUUAAUUAAAAGAGCACUGAUUUCCACAGAAAUUGGAAUACUAAUGGUUAAUUAAAUGAUUCUGUUAUGCAUGUACAAUUCUAUGCAGCUAUAAAGCAUGCCUAGUGGAGCUGGAGAUAAAGAUGAGGAUCAAAGCAUGGUAUGCAUAGAAAAAAUCAGUUCCAACUAAAUAACUAGUUCAAAGAGUCAGCAGAAGUACAAAUAAUAAACACAAACAUGCUACCCAUCUGUAUAUCACACAUGUACACAAACACAUCUCUCUGUAUAUUUGCUUUAUCUCUCUAUUUGCCUGUAUAUCUAUAGGUAUAUAUUUAUAUGUAUUUACCCGUAUAUACGUGCAUGCAUCUUUCUCUCUAUUUAUGUGUCCGUGCAAGUCUCGAGUGCAAGGUUUUACGUCCCAAUGGGACCGGGGGUAUCCCGGCCAUCCCAUCCCAUUCCUGUGAGAAAAUGGGACCGAGACAAGGUCGGGCCUCUAAAACCCAUUCAUGCAAGGAAAGAAGAAGAAAGAAAAAAGAAAGAAAAGAAGAUGAAAAAAAAGAAAAAUGAAAGGAAAGAAGAAGAAAGAAAAUGAAAGAAAAAAGGGAAGGGAGAAGAAAAAGAAAGGAAUGAAAGAAGGAAGAAAGGAAAAAGAUAGAAAAAGAAAAAGAAAAACAAGAAAUAAAGGAAGGUAUGAUAAAAAGAAAAAGAGAAAAAAAGGAAAAACAAGAAGGUAGAAGNNNNNNNNNNNNNNNNNNNNNNNNNNNNNNNNNNNNNNNNNNNNNNNNNNNNNNNNNNNNNNNNNNNNNNNNNNNNNNNNNNNNNNNNNNNNNNNNNNNNNNNNNNNNNNNNNNNNNNNNNNNNNNNNNNNNNNNNNNNNNNNNNNNNNNNNNNNNNNNNNNNNNNNNNNNNNNNNNNNNNNNNNNNNNNNNNNNNNNNNNNNNNNNNNNNNNNNNNNNNNNNGAUAAAAAGAAAAAAGAGAAAAAAGGAAAAACAAGAAAGGUAGAAGAAAAAAAGAAAGAAAGAAAGAAGGAAAAAAAGGGAGAGAGAUGGAGGAUAUCCAUCGAGAUGCACGAUCGGGAGGCUAUUGGGACGAGACAGGAUAGUGGGUCAUCCUAUUCCAUGGAGAUACUGGGACACCUCCAUCUCACGAGAUUUAAAAUCUUAGUCGAGUGUGCAUGCAUAUAUGUACAUGUGUAUAAUCAUUAUAAAUUACAUAUUUUGUUAGUCCAUAGAUAUUGGCCAAUAUGUAACAAGGCUGCAGACCUUUCGAUGACAGUGUCUAUAGACAAUGCUUUGCAAGUGGCGUAUAUUGGAAGCAAAAAAAAGCAAUAUGUAAUUAUAAGUAACUCAAAAGAAAAGCAAAAAGAAAAAAGAGGAAUUAUGAGCCAAAAAUUAACUACAGUGAGAAAGUUCAUUCACCCUGAUCAACUAGUAUAAUGCACAGAAGCUCCAUCUACUUGAUUUAGUUUCCAAAAUCAUACCAGGAUAUAUGCUUGUACCAAAAAAGAUGCCGAAAAUCUAACUACAAGGACAAUGAUGAGACAAACUUCUCUGGGUUCACUCAGAUAUGGAAACAUUCUGGAUCAGUUGGAUUAAUUGGGUGUAUACAUCUGUUGAUGACUCCGAUUUCUCCUUUAAUUGCUGAAUCAACGAAAUCACAUCACUUCAUAAAGAGCCCUGCCAUGCAGCAUCCUACAACAAAAUAAUCUCUGUAAGCAAUGCAGAAAGCUAUCUUUAAUAGCUUCUUAUCUUUAGUAGCAACUGCAGCUGCUGCAAUUGAAAGAAAAAGGAAUUGAAUAAAAGGGUAAAAAAAAUGCAAUUCAGUGGAUGAUCUGCAUCAAGCAUUGAAGAUAUACACCUCUCCUGAGAAGUAUUAUGAGGAAAUUCCCCAUAGGAUUGUAAUUCCUCAUUCCAGCCUUUCUGCAUGCCAAUUAGUUCACUUGCAUAAGAAAGAGCAAAGGCAUCCUCUGCUCUGGCUGCAUCCCGUUCAUGAUCUGCAAGCCAGUGUAUUAAAAAGCCCUAGGUGCACUAAGGCGCAAAGGGCUGUUGGCGCCUAGGCGCUAGGCGCGCACCUCAGUGAAUCUAGGCACCAAUUAAAGCAAAAAAUAUAUAAAAUUAUAUAACAGCAUCUAUAACACAAAAUACUAGUAUUAUAUAAACUAAUGAGCCUCAAACAACAAUCCAAAACACCAUAACAAUAAACCUCAAACAACAAUCCAAACACCAUAAUGUCAACUCAAACAACAAAAUAUAAGCUAAACCUCAAACAACUAAAGAUAAGGAAACUAAAAAACACCAUAAUGUCAACUCAGCUCUAAUAAAUAUGUCUAAGAUUCUAAUAAAACAUAAUCUUUUCCAUCCUGGAUCUUUUCUAACGUUUUCAGAAGCCAUGCUGCAUGUAAAUGAAUAGUUACAUGAGCAUGAGCAUAACAGGAAAAGAAAAAUAAAAGAGAGAGACAAGAAUAGGCAUGGCAUGAGAGUGGAUGAGAGAGAGAUAGAGGGAGGGACGAAGGGAGAGAUCGGUUCAGGAAGUACCAGACAGCAAGCAGGGAGAGAGUCCGAGAGUCCUUGUGUAGUUGUGUUCUUCGUGUCCACUGGUUAGACACUUUGCUUCUCUGGUUUUCUUGCUGAAGGAGAAUUCUAUAAGACGUGAACUUCUUCUUGAUCAAGAGUAAUUUAAAAUUUAAAUAGAAGUAGACUCUUUGGUUUUAGAUUUUGUUUUUUAGUAAAUGAAGAGGCAGCUGGCAGCCCACUCUAGAGUCCCUAGCUAAUUAAAACUCUUAACCUAACCAGCUGUACAUUCCUUGUUUCACAAAAAUUCUUUAAUCUAGUAGCUGAAAAGUCCUAUUGGGACUUAAAUUCACUUAGGCACGCUUAUUGAGUGCCUUACAUGAACCAACCAGGUGCAAGCCUAGGGCACCUCAAGUGCGCCUAAGGCAAAUCACCUCGUCUGGCUGUUAUUAAGCACCAGGCAUCACGUACCAUGCGCCUAAGGCGUGCUUUUUUAUUCACUGCUGCAAGCAUUGAAAAGAUUCAGUUUGUCUGAGCAUUUAAAAUAGAAGAAAAUAGAUGUAAGUUAGAUUUAUGGAUUGUAAAAGCGUAGACACACUUUACAACAUAACAGGCAUCUAAAUUCUCAAUGAUACUUUACCCAAGACAAAAACAAUAUAUUUUCUGAAAAUGCAAAAUCAUGUUAGUCGGACCAAAAGUAUCAGUAAAGUAUCAUACCCAUAUAACAAUUUCAUAUAUAAUAAUCAACAAUUACAAAGAUUUGAAGAUAUGCCCUUUUGUUAUGCAUUAUAAUGUAUCUUUCAUCGAUACAGCAUAUUUACCACUGAAAUCUGGGCAUGCAGCCAAAUGUUUGCUCAUGUUUUUUAGUUGGAACAAAACAAAUGAAGAAAGAUUUUGCAAAAAAUAAUUAAAAUUACAGCAUCUAACUUUAAUCAAGUUAUUCUUCUGGCAACAUCUAUACUCUAUGGCCAUCAAAUAGACUCAUAGAGUGUGUAUACAGAGCUACAAUACACAUUAGAUGCAGUGCACCAGCAAUUUUGCAUUUGCAAGCAACUCCACUUGCUAUAAUAUGAACUGAGGAUCAUCUUAUAAAAUGAAUCAUUGCAAGUGCCAAGGGGACAAAUGGCAUUAUGAGUCUGAAAGGGAAGAAAAGUAGCACACAGGAUCACUGGAAGAGCACCAACAUGGUUUUAAACAUGGACACAGACCAUGAGUCAGAUCCAAUCAUUAUAUAUAUGCAAGAAGCCUAUACAACAAAAUCCAUUUCUUAAGAGCAGUGACUAGGCCUCUUUUAAAGCCAGUGAAUCUUAAGAGAAUAAACACUUACUGCUUUCAGUUACAGCAAACAGUCCCCUCGUAUGUUGUUUGCAGCUAUAUAGUUUCAUGAAUGAAAUUUUAGGAAAACUAUAGUGGAAUUUUGAAAAAAAAAAAAGAAAUCUUAGGAAAAAGAGAGUUUCAUGAAAUAAAGGAAAGAAAUAAUCUAUAAGAAAGUUGAACUUAAAAUUUGAAGAGCAUUGCACCUUAUAAUGUAGGAAAAACCAAGAAAGAAGUUAAGACAAAAAUCUCAACAUAAAGAGUACAAAGGUCAGCUGUCAUUUAUACCAGGAAUGCGAUAGUCACCCAACCAUGAAUUUGGUGGCAACAGGGAUUGGACAGUUUCAAAAAGAUGUGCGGAAGCUUUCCAGUCCAAAAUUUCAUGAAAACCAUCAAACAUAUACCCACUUGUUGAUUAAAGACAAUGGCAACAUACCCAAGUCAUGCACAGAAUAUCACAAGUUCACAACUGUUAUUGCUUCAAAAAACUUGUCCACCUUUCUUGAACUUGGAGCUGAUUUUUUGCAAUAGACCAAUUAGAGUACUUGCUUCAUAAGCAGGCCUUGAUGGUCUUGGAUCCAAUAUAAUCCCUGUGCUAGAGUUCACAUAAAAAGCUCUUGUGGUCCCUGUGAUGCAAAACUUAUUUCCUUCUAAUGUUACCACAUCAAUAUAGAUCAGAUCUCCAACUCGCCUGAAAAAGAAAAGGAACAAAAUUAAUUAGUUAUACUCCUUUCCAUCGUGAUGUGCUAAAAAGCGAUUGCUGUUUACUUUGUAACUUGUGUAAUGGUUAAAUUUCUAAAGAUCAAAAGGUGUUCAAACAGAAUAAUGUAGCCAAUGAUGUGCAGUGCCUCUAGACCCACCACUCCAAAAGAUGUGGUCAUUGUGUUAAAAAUCUUUUUGUAUGUAGGUAAAUAAUGACAGGUGAUUCAGCAAAAGAGGCCAUAACAUAGCAAUUAUUUAUAAAGGAGUAGACAGCCAGUAUGUUCUUCUAUCUUUCCAGAGAACUACUAGUUUCCUAGAUAUAGCUGGACAGGAAGUUAAACAUAGUGAAGUUCAGAAGGUAACUUUUCAAGUACAAACCAUAUCGCAUUGUAAGUGGGUUAAAAUUUGAGAAGGGAACAUUACACAGAUAAAGAUAAAGGCAAAGAAGAAAGAUCUAAAGGGAAAGGAUUUACUUUCUGUAAGUUGGAGGAGGGUUGAAAGAAGAAAAUUCAAUGUUUUCCACACAUUUGAUCUCAUGAGGUGUUGGUGGCUUGGCGCCACCAAACGGUGGAGGGAACCCAUCAAAUCCUCCAUGAAACCUAACCCAUCUGGAGUUUUUGGUUUCACAUCGGUAUAACAAUGAGAUCAGCAGUAAAAAAGCAAUAAGAAUUGACAGUAAAACUGCACCUACUCUAGCUUCAAGGAAAUUUGCCAAGUGUAAAAGAUACAAUUAAGUUAAAAAGAGGCAGAAAACAAUAUGAAACUAUAAUCCAAAUGAUGACUUUUAGUUUAGCAUAAUAGCUAACUACAGAGACAACAUGCAUGAGGUUAAAAACAUUGCACAGUGCAUGGCAGAUAGAAACCUGAAAUUUUUUGCGGUGCGGUCUCAUGCUGCAAAGUUAAUGAUGUUGAUAAUGAGACAUGAAGAGUUGAAAGAGAAAGCAAUACUCGUGCAUGGCGUACAUGUGACCUAAUGGAUAUCUCAUCAUAUAAUGCUGCAAAAACACAGUCAUAAUGCCACCAGGUUACUACCAAUACAACCAAAAUGCUGAACAGAUAAAUGAAACCUAGUAAAUAAGGUGCACAAACCAGCAACCAUCUCUAAGGAGCAACCACCAGCGGUAAUAUCUGCAACUUCAGAAAUUUCACUGUAAUCAUCUAAAUGAUGAACUGAACCAUCUUUAGUAUGUGGAAUUAAAUCAUAGCAAGUAAAGAAACAGGUCUCUGGAGCAUCAAGAAGGAAUUGUCUGACAUCCAUCACAGAAUCUCCAGGACUUAGCUGCACAUCCAAAAUCAAAAUUAGAAUUUGUAGAGUUGCAAAUUUAUUGAGCAAGGGACAAAAGAAAGUUUUAAAAUACUUCAACUGUUGAAGUACAUCAAAGACUUAAACUUCAGUAGAUAAUGUUAUUCCAAAGUACAACUGCAAGAAUUUAUGAAGUAUGAACCACACACAGAAAUAAAACUACUACAAAGUACUCCUUCAUCAGGUACUUGAUGUUUUAGUUGCCAGUGGAACUGAGCAUGGUUGCCAACUGAUGGCAACCAUGUAAUCAAGCAAGCACCGGGAGACCAGGUUUUCAACAGACAUGUUGCAUGAUUUAGGAAAACUUCGUAUUUUGCUUUGUCAGUGAGUUGGUUGCCUGCCAUCUGGCACAACUAGUCAUUUUUUGGAAUUCAUGGCCAAAGGACUACUUUUGAAGAUGAGUCGUCUUUUGGAAUUUCAUGGCCAACGGACUACUUUUAAAGAUUUGAGAUAUUCAAGUAAGAAACGAGUUAAGCUGUUCCCAGCUUCUUUUAUCUUCAUUGAUUCUUUUAUCCCAGCUUAUUUAUUACAUUCUCUCUUCUCUCUUCUUUGGUAUGUCAGAAAUAUUCUUAUUAUGUCUUUAUCUUGCUGCACUGAAACUCUGCAGUUAUUCACACUUUGCCAAUGCAAUCUGCAAAUCAGAUGAAGACAGGUAAGUUCUCUCUUGAUUUUCUUUGAACUGUUUCUGUUGCUGACCAGCCCACUUGUCCAAUGACAAACAAUCAAUCAAUAUGCAAACCCUCGCUUGCAGGUAAAACAUGCAGAAAGAAGAAUCAGUAUGAUACAGGCUAAAUGUUCUUGACUCUUCAAUUGAUUUUACUUCUCUAUAAAUCUGUAAAAUUAAUGCUAACCAAAGCUUCAUCAGCAACAACGAAGACAAAAAGGACAAAUGCCCAUGCAAAGUGACAACACUAUUGGAUUGUUGGAAAUCCAAAUUUUCUUUUGCAUUAAAAAGUUAGAUUGUUGCCCAACCAGGAUAAAGCAACAAAAGAUUGUAUAAAUGUAUGUAGACCUCCAAAUCAUGAGUCCUGAAUCUAGAAAAAGAAAUUCCUUAGCUCCCGCAACAGUGGCAGUGUGCCUUUUAUUAUAUUAAUUACUAGAAGUAGAACAUAACUCAUAUGGCAGACCUCACCAAAUUACUAUUUUCUCAUGGCGUUUAUUGUUUCCAAAAACAUGCAGGGCAUGAUAUCGUUUUACCAACAAAAUCCAUUAUUAUCUUCCUAUAUAUUGCUAUACUGCAUUAAACUUUGUAUGCACUCAAGAAAGUGGCAUGACUUCACCUUUGAAUACCCUAGUCACUGAUAAUAGGCUACAAUAAAUACUAACAGGAACAUGGUGAUUUCACACCCCAAAAUAGCAUGAGCUAGAGUAAAUUCUAUUGUCAACAAAUACCAGUUUCCCCAAUGAUUUACAGAUCAUCAGGAAAAGUAAAAAUAAUUAACAAAAGAAGAAAACAGCAACCAACAUUCCACAUGAAAAGGCAAAGUAGAAAAGUGACUGCAUGUGAACUAAUUCAAAAGAUAGAACACUAGAAACAUGUAAAAAGAAUCUCCAAACGCUCACAAAAACAACCAAUCUAAACUUUGAUUAAUUGAUUGCUGAUAAGCAUAAUAAAUAUCCCAAUAAAAGCAUCAAAAUACACCCUAAUUGACCUUUAUUCCUUAAGAACUGAUGCUUUUACUUGUGUUUUGCAGAAAAGAUGAUCGCAGAUCUCGAUUUGUAGAUUCAAAGGAAGAAAAUUUGAAGCAAAUCAGACUCAAUUCAGACCCCAAUUGAAGACCUCAAGCCAAAAAAAAGAAAAAAUUUUUAAAAAAAAAGCCAGUCAGCCCAUUAAGCCGCGCUGUCUACGGCGGUCCACGAGCCCCCACGGUCCACAAGCGCCAGCGGGCAGUCUACCAGAACAAGGGCUGGUCCACGGCCCGUGCGUAGACCCUGCCGCACCAGGUCUACAAGCAGUUCAGAGGAAUAGUGUCUCCUGGUCUUUAUCACGGCACAUGAACAGGGCGGCUGAGUUCUGCACUAUCGGAUGGCUGCCAGCGAUCUUUACAUGAAAUUGGACGGCCAUGGUUCCGCUCUCCCAUAUCUAGCGGUGGUGACCCGUAACAUUAGCGCGAUCCAACAGCUGCGCUUCAACCAAGAGAAAGAUCGGAUGGCUGUGGUGGUUUUCGACUGAAAGAAGGAUUUUGGGAUGAUUUUAUGCGCUGAUCAACGGACGGGAUUCGAUCUAGGAAAGGAUCCGACAGUCAAAAAUGAAGCUGACUUGAUCUGGGCUGUUUCGAGCAGGUUUUUGAGCCGUUGGAUGCUGAUCGGAUGGUGGGCAUGGGUAGAAGAGUUUGAACAUGAUACAGAGCCCAGUUUAAGUCGAUUUCAACUCGAUUUCAACUCUGUUUUCAGCUAUAAAAAGGGGACUGCAGACACAACAUAAGGAGGGCGAGCAACAGCGAUCAAAAAAUAGUGGGCAGUCACAAAAAAAUUUUUCUUUAUUUCUUUAGUUUUAUUUUAGGAUUUGAGAGAGAGAGAAAGUAGAGAAGAAGGAGAUUGCUUCAAAAAGAGGAGGCACUGUGGCAGAGUACUAAAUUUUCAUAAGAUAUAUCCAGAAGCCAUGUCUGGCUAAGCUGCAGUCUGUAGGGGGAGCACAGAUGUCCUUUCAUAAUUUUUUAUAUUUAUUUUCUAUUUUAUGCAAUUAAUAAAAUACUUUCAAGUUUUAUUCACUUUCUUUUAUGCUUAAUUUCUGAAUAAGUUACCUAUAGGUGGGAUAGAUCAUGAUAGUGACAGGAUAUGGCCCAUGCUCAACAAAGAUAAUUUAUUUUAGGAUUUAAUAUUUACAUAACCUGUUAGGAUUUGUACAGUCAAAUCUUUUGAUAGUCUAUACUUGUAGGACGGGCUAUGAUCUUGACAGGAUAUGGUUCGUGCUCGGCAAGAUAGUCUAUGCUUGGGAUUUGUUUGCAAGACUCCUAAUUGAUUAUGAAUUUAAUUGCUUAGAAGAAAGACAAAUAUUAAAAUUUAUGUUUGUGAUUAUCUAGAAACCUAAAUACAUAUUUUUCAUUAUCUAUAUCUCUCAAUUUCAUUUUUGAAUUAAAUUAAUUAGUUUCAAUUAAAACAUUACCAACUUUUAAGAAUCAAACUUUCUCUUUUGCUUAAUUAAUUGCAUCUCAGUCCUCUGAUCCUCAUGGAUAUGAUCUCGACUCAUCCUAUUUACAUAGUAGUGAGUUAGGUUUAUUUUUGACCGCCUACGACAGCGAUCAAUUGCCAAUAAAAGUUGGCAUGUAUGCUUGCACAUAUGUGGAGAUGGAUAUCUGCAUAUGAAACAAGCAUAUGCAAGUGUGCACAUAUGUGCCUCAUCGAGUACAAGGGACAGAUCCAUAGAAUUGCUGUUGCUAGAAGCAAAUUCUUGAUAGCUACAUGUCCUCUUUCACUGAAGGUGCCAGCUAGCCUGCUGGUGACGUCCCUUGGACGUUGUGCCCAACAAAUGCGAACCUCACCUUCAUCAGGGUUAAGGGUUUAGGUCUAUGGAGGGAGGGCUACCCAUCUGUCUAGUGCAUUUAAAUUUUUUUUAAAAAAAGACAAAAGAAGACUCCUGUUGCUUAAAAAUACAUCUGAUAUUUGUUUUCGAACAACUUACCUGUAACUCUAGCUUUUCUCCAGACUGUGUCUUCACAGAACAGGGUAAAGAUGAAGCUCACCUGCCCACCAAAAAACACACAGUUUCUUAGAAUUGCUAGCUCAGAUUUUGAUUGGUCCACGCGCAUGCGCAUGAGAGGGAGAGAGAUGGACAGUUUCUAAAUGCCCUUAAAAACACAUUAAGCUGAUCCAAAAUCAAUGUCAUGUUAGAAUUGCCACUACUAAAGAAGAUUAGCAGAAAAAAAGUGCAUAAAAAACAAACCAACUAGUGACAGCAGCCCAACCAGGAGUUCCAGUCUAAGCACGGAAAAUCCAAAUGGAUCAUAAACUUUGCUGUUAUAAUGAAGCCACUGACUUUUCAAAUACAGUCAGAAAAGUCAGCAGCAAGCCCACAAAUUUUAUACCCAUAGUUAUGGUUGUUCGUAGAUAAUAAGUUAUUGCUGCUAAGCAAGCAAAGGAUUAUGAUUGCAAUGAACAAAUCUUGCCUUAUUUAUUCUUGUCUCAUCCGCAAGGCUUUUGUUUGGCGUUUAUCCACACAGAUGCGGGGAGAAAAGUUAUCAUGAAAAUAAUGAGUGAUAAUGAAGACAUAUGUAAAAAAAGUUAGAGCUGACUGGAUGGGGUGGAGGGGUAUUUCUAGUGUACUAUGUGGUCAAUGUAUCCUUUGGUGACUUGAUGGAAAAUUCUAUGGAAAAAGAAAAAUGCAUGCCAUGUUUUGUGAUUGAAAUUAUUUCACAAUAAAAAGGAUCCAAGAAAAUAACUUAAAUGUUCUAGAAAUGAAAAUAUUGAGAUGGAUGUGUAAAACAAAGGAUAAGGUGAGAAAGUGAGCAACAAGUUUAUCAGAGGAGAAGUUGCACAAGUUAAGGAUAAAAUAAUGGAGACUCAGACGAGGUGGUAUAGAUAUGUCCAACAAAGAUUUGAGGGGGCUCCAAUAGGAAAGGUAUUUCAAUCUUCGUUAAUGUAGGAGGAAAAGACGAGAGCUAACACAGAUUAAAAUUGUGAGAGGAUAUGAAAAGGCUUGAAAUAACAGUAAAAUCUAGCUUUAAACAGGAAUGCUUGGUAAAAGAGGACGAAGAAAGUGGACAGAAAAUAGUUAGGAGUUGGGCCAUGGUAUGAUGGUUAAGGUUGUGGACCUUCUAGUAAUGGUCUAAUAUUAAGUUAUAAUAAGAGGAGAGAACAAGAAGGAAAUGGGAAAAAAUAAAUGAAAGGCUUCAAGGAUAAAAAGUGCCAAAAAUGAGUAUGUUCCAUGUUUAUACAGGGUGUACAUUGAUUUUACAUGUUUCAUGAGUAUUCUUGGGAUGGCCAUUAUGGGAGGUUCCUGUUAUAUUAAGUUCUCAAUAGAAGGUAGGAUUUAAAUAAAGAAAGUGACUAGAAAUGCAAAAACUGAGAUUUUUUUCACCAGCAAAUCAGAAAUGCAAUAAAUAUUAGUUUUAGGUUUUCCCUUUUCGCACUGUCUGAUCGUCUUUUAUCAUCUUUUACCUUCUUUAUUUACAACUUCUGAACCAGAUGUGAAAAAAAAAAUUAAAAAAAAUAAGAUCUCAACAGUUAGUCCUUUGGAUUUUUCUUAUUUUCUAUUUUUUUUGGCAGUUCUUCAUCUCUACUUCACUACAAUAUCUUCUUCUUAUUGUGCUGAAUGUUGAUAUCAGAACUGCAAUAGAUCUUAUCUAAAUAAGUUGGAUAACCACACAUUAUUACUCUUACAUUACUACUAAAAUACACUAAAAUAUCUUCAAGAAUGUGUUAAAAUCAAACAAACCCCAAAAAUCCUUCCUCAAACCAACAUAACCAUCUAAGUUCUGUCUCUCUCAUAGAGUUGCACACUCACUUGCUCCCUCCCCCAAAAUCAUGAUCCAUGCCUCAUGGUACCACAUUGCAUUAGCUAAAGAUGCUUAACUUAAAAUUACUACUUUGCAUAUCCUUCGAACCAUUUUCAACAAAUGCCAAUUUACACCACAGAGAUUACUAAAACCUAAACUUUUCUAAUAGGAAACACAUAUAUAUGCAUGUGAAUAUGCACACAUGUAGAGAGAGAGAGAGAGAGAGAGAGAGGAGGGAGGAGUAGNNNNNNNNNNNNNNNNNNNNUAGUAGUAGAGAGAGAGAGAGAGAGAGAGAGAGGGAGGGAGAGUUGAACUAACAUCCUUCUAAUAGAAUUAAAAUCUCAAUUUUACUAAUUGGAUAUCAAUAAUGGACAUUCGAAAUUGAGGAUCUAAAUAGUUAAAACACCAAUAAAUCCAAAAUAGUACAUUUUGAAGGCCUCUUUCCUAUACAUUUUUUGCCCAAUAAAUAAUGGGCAUCCAGAAUUGAAGAUUCUGGAUCAUAGAUGGAUCCUAUUUAUGGAAGUGCAUCUUUGGGCUUUCCAAAAUUGGAAAAUAUAGUGAUGAAUUUGAUGUUCAACCAAAACUCAGGAACCAAGAUGUUUUGGCUUUGGCUGGAGCCACCCAAAACUAAGGGACUGUUUGAUACAAUCAUAUGUGUGUGUGUAUAUAUUGGUGAGUAUAUACAUAUGUAUGGAUGUGUAUAUAUGUAUGGGCAAAUUGUAAAGCUCUUUUGCCUUUUAUAGAUUUUGUUUCUUGAUUUUCGAAACACUUAUCAAAAAAUCAAACUUAAUUACAAUUUGAGAAGAAUUAGAAGCAUUUUGACAUCAUGUUAUAUGUGUGUGUGUGUGUGCAUAUAUAUAUAUAUAUAUAGAGAGAGAGAGAGAGAGAGAGAGGUUUAUUGAAUAUUAUCGACAGAUUUAGCUAUCCUAGAGAUCAAAUUUCAAACAGAUUGUCCUCAAAUAAUUUAUGACAUGCUGCACACUAACAUGAUGUAAAAACAACUUUUCCUUAUUAUUUUCAAAUUGUAAUUUCUUGUUUGUCUCAGAACUGCAAACACUUUUUUUAGUUUCCUAAUUUUCUGAUAUUUUUUAUCCUUUUUGAAUUUAAGCUGAAACUUCAAAAAUUGAACUUCCAAGGAUGAAACUUGUGGACCUGGUAAAACUUAUACCAAAAUCAAAUUAUUGAACCUUGGUAAAACUUAAUAUCAAUCUUACUUGGCAACUUCUACCCCAGGCCAUCGAGCACCUACACACCUAUAUUUUACUCACUAAUCAGACCUUAAAAACAAUGAGUUAAAGAAUACAUGAAAGAAAGACUAGUUGAGAAGAACAUGAAAGGGUGCAAAAAAGAAAAGAGAAGGGCUACACAGAGUUCACAAGGGAAAUAUUGAAAUCCCAGGCAUAGUUUAUGACAUGAAAGGAAAGAUUCAAGUUAAAAAAAAAAAAAAAAGCCAAUUUCUCUUUAUUCUGCAAGCUGAAAUGCCAAUCUGUUGGCACUUUAGUAGAUGUGGUUAAUGGAUUACCUCUUGAAAUUCUUCUAGGACAACAAGUUUAUAAAAUAUGGCAAGCUGAUGAUAACAUUACCUAAACACAAGAUAUGGAUGUAUUGAUUGAAACUAUGCUUAAAAAGGAGUUGGCCAAAAUGGAAGGUUCUUCUUUUGUGAUUGUUGAUCCAAUAUGUAUGCUUUUGAAGCAAAAUUUAUUAGCUGACACUUUAGGACAGAUUUCCCUGUUCACUGAUUAGUAAUGAGUUUGAUGGUUGUCCAUGGGGUAAUAUCACACUAAGCAAUUGAGAGUUUACUUUGCCUUCACCAUCGUACAGCAGUUCAGGAGCUCAAAACAUAAGAUUAGAUAGCAUAUCAUACAUCUGAAUAUAGUCAUAUGAAUCUCACCCAAACCCUAUAUAUGGUCAUCUACAUGACAAUAAAUAAAAAAUUAGAAAGUCAUUGACGAUUCAAUAUUGUUUAUACAGGCACAAGGACUUUAGAAAUCAGAGAAUUGAAAAAGAAGAAGAAGAAGAAGAGAGAGAGAGAGAGGCCACUGUUGAGAGUCAACCUCCCUUGCACGAUUAUAUUCAAGAUAUACAGAGAUUAAAAGAUCGACAAAAUCACUUUGAAACAGGAAGUCCUAGCUAGAAAAUCAAAACAAAUUUUCUUUUGAUGAGCAACCAGGAUUUGAUUGUAUGAUCUCAACGUUCCAGUAAUCUUUUCAGUCAACUGAAAAGUGAACAAUAACAUAUUAUACAGCAAACAAGCAUGACAUCGACUUGUCUUUUAGCUGAAAUAAAUAAAUAAAUAAACAAAAUCAAAAAAAAAAAAGAAGUCUGAGGGUAACAACUAACAUAACAUCGAAUGAAGAACAAAGAGUUCACCUUCAGCCUGCUUCGAUGUGGUUGCCGAAGGAUUUGCCAUCUCUGCCUUAUCACUGAUGGCCCCGUUUGCUGCAGGAGACCUACUGCUUGUGUCUCCAACCCCACUGGCGUCACCGUUAGAUGCUAUUGCAGCACAAGCACCCCCAUUCACGGAUGCAGAUGAAUGAAGUGGCUCUGAUUCAGAAUCAGCAAGAUUGGACCGGAAGGUCCGCCCCUUGUUUCUGGCCUUGUUAGAUUUUCUAGCCAUUUUUUGAUCCUAAUGCCAGUAUAAUAAAUCAGCGCAUAUUCAAAAGAAAUAUAGUUACCUCUACUACAUUACCUAACCAAAUCAUCCUUCCACUGCAAGUUUAAUGUAACACAUAGACGACAAGUAAUAGACAGCAAGCACUACUAAUCAGUCGGCACAGCGCUUUUUGUGUUUUGAAGCCAAAAAUUACCGUCAAUUAGUAAAAAAAAAAAUUACUAAAAAUGACAAAAAUAUACGUUUUUUAUUCAUUCAAAUAUGCCAUCUUUACCGAUCAAUCUUCCCCAUGUCAAACACCGGCGGUCAACGUAGAAACAAAGAUAAAAGAACAACAAAUAAAUAAAUUCCAUCAACGGGAGAUGAAAAAUAUAAUCGACAUUAAAAUUUAAAAAAAAUAUAUUCAUCUUAUAUCUACUAAAGAUAUAAUUGAUAUUUUGUAUAAUUAAAAAAAAAAAAAGUGCUCAACCAAAUAUAAGCUAUCCUGUAAUAAAUUAUUUUUUUAUGAACAAUCAAAUAUAUCAAAAUUUUAUUUUUAAAAAAUAAUUUUUUUAAAAAUAAUUUUUACAAAAAAAAACAUUCAUGAACCAAACAAAUCCUAAAAUAUUUGAGUUGGAAAUUUGCUUGUCUUCAUUCUUCAGGGGAUAGGAAACAUCGUGAAGAAUAUAUUCGGCCUUCUUGUAUUGAGUGAUUCGCCGCUAACAAAGCAGGAAAAACUCUAAUUUUUCUCAAAGUGGUCCGUGAAAAUUGUGGCACCCACAUGGUUAUGCAUGUCCUCAAACCUGCGAGCUAUAUCUAAUUAAACUUGACAAUUACACCCGACCUAGAUAAGUCCUGACCCGAUCUGGCCUAAUAGAUCGGGUUGGUCAAUAUGUUGAAUGAGUUUUGAUCCAAACCUGAUAAAUUUAUAUCUCGGAUCGGAUCGAGUUCAGAUAGUGACCGCUCUGAUCCAAACCUAAUCCGAUCGUAUGUAUAUAUAUUAUUCAAAUGUGAGCUGGUUGUAUGAAAUAUGGGCCUCAUGGCCUUUAGGCUUGGUUAAGGCCUUAAGAGCUGAAAAGUAGUAGUGAACUAUUGUUCAAUGCUUCUAUUUUCAUCUAAAAAAUCUUAUUUAGGUAGGAUGGAUAUCCAAUCAGAUAAUCCGAUAUCCAAUCGGACAGAGUAUAGAUAAAAAAAGUGUUGACCCACCAGAUCAUAAAUCGGAUUCGAAUCAAAAUAUUCUUUCAAGGUCCACCACUAAGUUUUGCAAAAUAUCAAUAAAUAGUUAGGAUGAAUACUAAAUAGUGAUAUAAUAUUAUAUUAAUAUUAUUUUAAUAUUUAUAUAAAUAUAAUAUUAAUAUUAAUAUUAUAAUAUUUAUUAUAUUUUAAUAUUUANNNNNNNNNNNNNNNNNNNNAUAUCUACUAAGGAUAUAAUCGUAUAUUUUACAUAGUUUUUUCUAAAAAAAUAUGUGCUCAACCAAAUAUAAGCUACUCUGUAAUAAGUCAUUUUCACAUGAUCAAUCAAAUAUAUCAAAAUUUUAUUUUCAAAAAAUAACUUUUCAUAAAAUAACUUAUAAAAAAAAAAUUUUCACAAAUCAAACAAAUCCUAAAAUAUUUGAGUUGAGAAUUUGCUUGUCUUCAUUCUUCGAGGGAUAGGAAACACCACGAAGAAUAUGUUCAACCUUCUUGUAUUGAGUGAUUCGCCGCUAGCAGAGUAGGAAAAACUCUGAUUUUUUCUAAAAGUCAUCCAUGAAAAUUGUGGCACCCACAUGGUUACGCGUGUCCUCAAGCCUGCGAGCUAUAUCUAAUUAAAUUUGGCAAUUAUACUCGACCUAGACGGUCCCAACUCGAUCUGGCCCAAUGGGUCAAGUUGGUCAAUAUGUUGAACGGGUUUUGUCCUAAACUGACCCAAACCCGAUAAAUUUAUAUCUUAGAUCAAAUCGAGUUUGGAUAGUGGCCGCCCUAACCCAAACCCGAUCCGAUCUUUUAUAUAUAUAUUGUUCGAAUAUGGACUGGUUAUAUAAAAUAUGGGCCUUAUGGCUAGUACUGUCAAAAUGGACCGGCUCAGACCGGCCUAUAAGGGUCUAAAAUUUAAUAGGCCGGGCUAGGCCCAUCCAAAAAAUGGGACAUAAUAUUGCUGGCCCCGUCCAGCCCUUUAAGGACCGUGGGCCGGACUAAGCCAGCCCAUGGACCUUGAAUCUCAAAUGACUGAUAAAAAAAACUAAUAAUUUGAUAAAAGAAUCAACAUAUCAUCAAUUGAAAGUUGAAACAUCAUCAAUUCAACCAUUUAAAAUUCAAAAAUUCAACCCAAACAUUAAUAAAAUAGAAAUUAAAAAUUUCCAACAUCACCUAUUCAAUAAUUCAUCACACUAAACCAUGUAAAAUACUAAAAUUUAAUGUCCACAAUAAAUCAUAUUUCACUAUCUUCAUUGGUUUCUUCCUCAAGCUGUACGACAUUUGAAUUGGAAUAAAAUCUAAUACUAAUGGUAAUAGAGUUUUUUUUUAAUUUUCAUGACCCACCUGGGCUAGCCCGAUCCAACCCAUAUUAGCCCUUGGGUUGAUGUAGGGUUGGCCAAACAGGUCUGAUUGUUAUUUGGGCUGUUCAUAUGGCAGCCCAGCCCACCCUAUUUAUAGGGUUGGAUCGGACCGGUCCUGUGGGCCAAGCCCAUUUUAACAGUCCUACUGGCCUUUAGACUUGAUUAAGACCUUAAGGACUGAAAAGUAGUAGUGGGUUAUUGUUCAAUGCUUCUAUUUUCAUCUAGAAAAUCUCAUUUAGGUAGGACAGAUAUCCGAUCAGAUAAUCCGAUAUCCAAUUGGAUAGGGUAUAGAUAAAAAAAGAAUUGACCUACUAGAUCAUAGAUUGGAUUCGGAUUAAAAUGCCAAGAUAUCAUAUUAGAUUUAGAUCGAUCCAAACCCGCACCCGACCUGACCCAUUGCCAACUUCUAUAUCUAAUCCAUGUUGAAAAUGUUAAUGGCAUGUAAAAACAAAAAUCAUAUGAGAUGAACACUAUAAAAUAUCAUGUGGAUCGUGCUUCCUAGUUUAUCAAUUUUUUAAAUAUCAAUUUUAAAAAUAAGUUUAAAAGUUAAAAACUUUUUUCACUAAUAGAAUUAUUAGUUUUAUAAUUAAAAAAUAUAUUUUGUUUCUUUCUCAUUUUUAGCAUAAAAUCUUUAACAAUAUAUACUAUAUGGCCAUAUGAUACAUACUAAAAAGAAUUUGGUCCGAAAAAGUUAGGGUCUAAAAUCAAAAUAAAAAUAAGUGACUUCGAUUCUAAUUGUUUGGUUAGGAGGAGUCCUAUUUCGAUUUCAAUUCUAAGACGGAAUGAUAAUGGUCCAAUUUAUUGAAAACUCAAUCCCUAUUCUCCCCUAAGCAUUCAAAUUUUUAUUUUGAUUUUCAUUCCAAUAACGAACCAAGUGCUUCGAGGGAUUUGACCAUUCUAAUUUCGAUUUCAAUCCAUUCUAAUUUCCAUUUUGAUUCUAAUUCCGAUUAUGAACUAAACACCUUCUAAAUAAAUUAAUCAUCAAACAAGUUAAUAUAUACAAAUAAAUAAAUCGAUACAUAAUUUUCAGAAUAUGGAGUUCAUCAAUAUAUAGUAUAUAGUCAAAUGAUACAUAUUUAGCAAAUUGAUACAUAAUUUUUGAAAUAUUAUAUUUAUCAGUAUGUAAUACAUACUUAUCGACUUCCUGAUAUAUAAUAUAUGCUUCUUUUAUAUACACCCAAUAGUAAUCCAAUCCAUAUAUUCUGAUAAAAAGUAUAGCUGUGUAUUAAUUUAUUUUGGAGGUGUAUAUUAGACCAUUUCAAGUGUAUAUCAAAGAAGCUUGCAGUAUAUAUCCAAAAAUCAAUAAGUGCAUAUCACCAUAUCAUAUAAUAUAUACUAGAGAAUAUAAUAUUUUAGAAACUGUAUAUCAAUUUACUAGACAGCGUAUAUUAGAUUGUUAAAUGACUAAUUUAUCAAGUAUGUAUUAGUUAUUUCUAUGUUAUGUAUUGAUGAACUUCAUGUUCUAAAACUAUGUAUCGAUUUAUUUAUAGGUAUAUAUUGGAUCACUACUAGAUAUACAUCAAAAAAAAUCUAUAAUAUCUAUUAGAAAAUCAAAGUCGAUGAAUGUGUAUCACCAUGCUAUAUAAUGUGUACUAGUAAAUAUAAUUUUUGAAAAUUAUGUAUCUAUUUACUUGGAGAUGUGUAUUGAGUUACUAUAUGACUAAUUUGCUAAUAUAUAUCACCUGGCUCUGUAUUAUGUAUUAGUAAAUUCUAUAUUCUAAAAACUAUGUAUUUAUUUAUGUGAAGGUGUGUAUUGACAUGCUUAAUGAUUAAUUUAUUUAGUAUAUCAAUUGGCCAUAUUGUAUGUAUUAAUUAAAAGUAUAUUAUGAAAAUGAGGAAGAAAAAAUAUCAUAUUUUUUUUAUUUUUAUUACAAGACUAAUGAUUCCAUUAGUAGGAGGAAUUUUUGAUUUCUGUAUUUUUUUUUAAAGAUUGGCAUUAGAAAAGUAUGGCAAAAUAAGAAGCCCGUCCUAUACGAUACACCCCAUAUAAUAUUUGUAAGGUCCUUUUGAACUGAAUGUGAUUCAAAAAUACUACCUUUAUUGUCUUUAGGCAAGGAUAAGGAGUUCUGUUCUAUGGAUAUCAACCCUAGCUUCAAUGCUCCAUUAUACCAAGUUUUGGUUUACCAGGUAGUAGCUCGAUCUAUUGUACGACUUAGGCCUCCAUCCAAUUAGAGUUAGGGAUGAUAAUUUAUGACGUGACCUUUCAACCUGAUCCAUAAUUGAUCCGAUUUGGAUUUGGAAUGGAUUUUAAUGGAUAAAUGAGUUGAUCUGCUUGAACCUAUUUAUUGAAUAGAUUGGAUUUAAAUUUAGACAUUUGAUCUAUUUAAUCUCUUUUUGACCCAUUUAAUGAUUGGAUCAGAUUACGACCUAAUCUGCUUAACCCAUUUAAAACCUAUUUAACUCAUUUUAUACCCAUUUAACAUAACAAGUUUAACUUGUUUGAUCCAUUAAUUUUCUAUUCAGCUUGAAAUUUGACUUAACAUGGCUCUCUUGAUCAUUAAACAAGCCAAGGUAAAGCAUGGCUCAAUUAAACAUAGUAAUAAAUAAAAGAAUAAAAGGAUUACAUGCAUUUCAUAUUACUUAGUUUUAUGAAUAAAUAUUGUUUUAUAUAUAUAUUUAUUAAAAACUUCUAUAAUUUAUAUGUAGAGAAAUGCAUUGAAGCAAUAAGAGAAAGAUACGACAUUGAAAAUUAGCUCAAAACAUAAAAUAUGAAAUCUUUGAUGCUCAUAGGUCCUCACAUCGUUGCCAAAUCUCAAGGAAAUGUAUAUAGAUAUCCAAAAUUCAGCUUUCAAAGCAAGUGUAUUGUACCCCUAGCUCAACUUGCAAGAUAUUAAGUUAGAUAUGGGUUUAAAUCAUUUGAGCUUAGUUCAUUUGCAUUCCUAUAUGUAAAGUGGCUGCUUGCCGGCUUGCUCGAGAAUAGGUAUUCUAAAUGAAACCAUGAUUUAAUUAUGAGGGGUGAUGAGAUGAUGUUAGCUUAGUUGCUUCAACUUUGUAAUUUUUUCUAUUGAGAGAAAAAGAUAAGUUGCACUAUUUGAAUGUUUUACAUUGAUCGUUUUACCAAAUGAUGUUUCAUUGGACCUUUUGCAAUAAAAUUCGUGCAAGCUAACUAGCAUAUUAAAGUAACAAUUUAUAUAUAGAAGCCUUAGGUUUCUAGCCCCUCUAUCUCUCUCCUUUGCUUUCACAUACAAACAUAAAGAGCGAAGGAAAGGGAGAUCUUAGCAAUUCUAUGAUGCAUGUCAUAAAAAUAAAUAUGAUUAAACAUCUGAUAUUGCAAUUGUAUCCUACUAUAGUCAUGAUGUUUGAUAAUCUAAGAUCGAAAUUGUUAAUGGAUCUAGCAAGAAAGCACAACGUGCCAUCCAAACUUUAGCAGAGCUUUAAAUUUUUUAAAUAUUUAUAUAUACCUUGAUUUAUCUAGAUAACAAGGCAAUUGUUUUUAUGAGUCCGACCUAUUUUAGCUUUUAAAUAAAGCAUUUCACCACCAUCCAGUUUAGAAUGCACCCCCAUCCAAACAAAAGUGUCAUUUAACCUAAUGUGAAAAUUGUGCAUACUAUGCUAUUUUUGAAGAAAUGUGAAAAGAGAAAUCUUAUCCUAGCUCAUGCAAACAUUCGAGCACAUGGGGAUUGAAUUGAAGGGUUAGCUAAGUCAUGAAUUGCCAUAUUAUCGUCAACAUGUUCCUAACAAAACAUUUCAGGUAACGGAGCAGCACCACGCAAUUUUUCUCACAAAAAUGCAAUGCUACGUCAUGAUGCCCUAGCAAGAUACCUUUAUAUUACUACAAAGCAUGGUACUUGUGUGUACCAUCUUCAAACAAAUUUUAGCAAGAUCAUGAGUUAUUAGUUAACAAAGUGGCACAUUUAAGCAUAUAAACUUUUGAGCUAGCAAAAGUACAAAAAUAUUAUACAUGAAUAAUGCUAGAGUUUUUGAUUUUAGAUUGGUGUUAGGAUAAAUAUUACAAAAUAAGAAGUGCAUCCCAUAUUCCUUUCUCCGGUGCAUUUUCUCUGUGAUUUUUGUUCACGCAUGUCCCCUAAGUCACGUGAACAUCAAUGUGGAGUGCAAAAACUUUUGCAAUAAUCAAUGCUUCAUGUAUAAGUUUUAAUUGUACAUUGAUUGCCACAUUUUGUAGGCUUUAAUGGACCCUUCAUCGAACCCGAACACCCCAAAAUAGAAACAGACCUAGCCUGAAAGCCACUUCAAUCGGACCCUACAAAAUACAUAAAAUAUUUUUUUAAUAAAAAUAUGUAAACAAGUGUAAAAUUUUGAGCAUCAAUCUAACGUAUAGAGAAUUAUUGAUUAGAACCAUUCUAUCCCAUAUAUACCUUGCACAAUUCAAUAAAAAAUUAUCAUAUCAUUUAUUAUUGAAAAAAAUUAUUAUUAUUCAAAUUUGAUUUGAAAGUUUUGGAAAAAAAAAUAUUAGCUGAUAUUCUUUAUUAAUUUGUAUAAAAAAAUAUUUUUUUAAAUUAAUAUAAUUAUUUUUUACUGGAUGAUGUAAGAUUCAUAUUAUAGAACGAUUUUAAUCAAUAAUUAUUCCUGAUGCGCACCGCUGCCCCCUGGGACGCAGCGCAGCCCAUUUGCUACGAUGGUGACCGCAACAUAGUCACCCACCUUGUAGAUAAGAAACCGGUGAGCUCGGGUUGGAAAUGAGACCUCACGUCAAGCGGUCUUCAACUCUUCCCCUCUCCAGGAAUGCGACUACCGUCACCGCCGGUCAGACUAGCCGCCUAUUCCAAGUUGAAUACCAGCUUACGUCUCAGAACGUGGACCUGGUGACUUGUUUAGUUGCACGAUCAAAAAACGAGGUACGUUAAGGGGAGGUAAAGGGACACUCUAGUUCCCUGGUCUAAAAUAUCUUCGUCUGCACUUUUUGGAGAUUUUUAGUCCGGAGCUCGCGUUUCCAAAUCCACUUCCGGCUCGCGUCCCAUGGGAGACGAACCCGGUGGCGGCGCCGACGCGGUCCCGCCGGCGACGGAGGCGGCGAUGGUGGUGGUCGUGGACGAGGAGAGGCGGGCGACGCUGCUGCGGAACAUAACGGUGGAGGGGGGUUUCGCGUACGUGAGCUCGGCGGAACUGGCGGCCGGUGGGGACCUCCGGGCAGCGGAGGCGGCGAGGGAGAUGGCGUGGGAGCAGCUCCACUCUGGGCCGUGGCACGAGGUCGUCCCGGCUUGGCGGGACGCUUACGCCAUGGCUUGCCUCCACGUGGCGGAGCUCCGGGCCGGCGCUGGCGAUCGCCGGGAGGCCCUCCGGGCGCUCGACAUGGGGCUGAUGAUGGGCGGCCCGCUCCUCCGCUGCGAUCUCCACGCCGCGGUGGAGAGAAUCAUGGCGAGGAGCGGCGAAGGGAAGGCGGAGGGAUCCGACGGGGGGGAUUCAGUGGAGAGGUGGAAGGAGGAGUUCUCCAAGAACUGGGACUUGACGGAGGUUAGGAAAGAGUAUUUCUUUUCUCAAUAAAUUUAUAUUUUUCAUUUAUUAUUGUUAUCUCUAAUUUAUUGGGAAGAAUUCAUUGCAAUGCGAUAGUAAUGAAGUUUUGGUGGGAUUGACAGACUGAUAGGGUUUGGAUUACUGUUAUGCUUACGUUGGAAAUUUAAACUUGAUUUGUUACUUAAAGCUUUUCCUUGUCCGAUUUGUUUGGAAAUGGUUGAUAUCGACCGUACACUGAGCUCAUCAAGCUUUGAUGGACCAUUGCUGGAAUUUUAUGUAGCCCUGGUAUUUAUUUAUUUAUUUGUUUGCUUGAUUUCUUUUGCAAUUUCUAUAUUUAUUUACAAGCAUGGGAAGUAUUUAUGAAUUAUCCUACCGUUUGUGCAAUUUCAUUGAAAUGCUUUCGCUUUAUAUUUAUGUGGAGUUGGAUUUUUUUUAAAAUAUAAUUCUGGGUUUGCUGUUUAAAAAUUGUUUUAUUAUAUUAUUGUUAUCAUCAAUUUUGUGUCUUUUUAAUGGCCAAUCCAUGUUGUUAAAUUUCAAUGUUAGCAAUCUUUUAUAUCAAAACAAUAAGAUUUUACAUGUACAAUAUUAAAAUUCUGUACUAUUAGAUUAACUCAAGAAACUUAGUUGCGGUUUUAUUAUUUUGAUAGAUGAUGCGGAACAGAGUGGUAAGUAAUGAGUUUAUGCUAUUGUCUAUUGAUUCUCAUCUUGUAGGUGCUUCGAGUUCUGCCAAGCAGAUCAUUAUCCUGCAAAAUAGUCGAGAAACGGUCAUCCCUUUCUUUGGAGACAUUUAUACGCGAUUAUUUUUUACGUGAUUGUCCGGUUAUAAUCAGUGGCUACAUUGAUCAUUGGCCUGCAAGGACAAAAUGGAAAGACAUUGAGUAUUUGAAAAGGAUUGCAGGAGAUCGAACUGUCCCUGUUGAGGUGAAUAGCCUUUCUCUUUGUAGGUGAUAUUUGAUCCUCACACAUCGUGGCAUGAUAUUUGGAGAGCAAGUUGCUUAUUGUCAAUAGAUUGUUUAUGUUGGAUCUAUAUAUUUGAGAAUUCUGUACUCAACCUGAUGAGUAGAAUUUGUGAACGUGAUCCAUGCACCUCUCCUCAAGCAAAUGCCCUUUAUUGACAAAAAUAUAACCUAUCAUCAUAUCGAAGAAGCAAGGCUUAUGAUUGAAGACAAAGUUGGGAAUCCACCAAGUUGACUCAUGACUCAGCUAUCUUGGACCAAUCACUUGGUGGGUGAAACUGAUGUAAUCAAGCAAAUCAAGCAUGGCGCAGAUAACAUUAAUGCAGAUUUUGAUCUGACCUCUCCAUUGGAUAUGUUGUUUAUAUUUUGAGGUUAUACUUUUGGAUAUUAGUCUUUGUGGUUUCAUUUAAAUGUAUCUGUUUACGAUUUUAGUAAUUUUAUAUCCUUCACUCUUUGGUUUUCACAAAUUUAUGAUAGUCUUUUGAUACUAUGUUAUUUGGAUAUAACAAACAUUGGAAUGUGUUGCUAUUGGCAGAUUAAAGGUGAACUUUUUACCCUCUAAUUAUUGAUAUUUAAAGGUAGCUAAGAUGAUUGUUUUGUGUUAUGAGGUUAUGUAUGUAUAAAUAUAUAAUGCAUAUGUGCAUGUCUGCAUGCAUGCUUUUAGAUAAUUCGUAAGUGUUUUGUUUUAGUUUGGAUUCUAAAUUUCUUCAAUUGAAUAAAAAAUAUAAAUACUUACAUGAUAGCAUUUUUUUUAAAAGAUAUUUGGAAAAAAAUUCUUUAUGUUUUCAAUGGUACAUAUACAAUCAUGACUUGUCAAAGCCUGAAUAGCUUGAGUCAAAUGAUCAAACAAGUCUUAGGUUUAUUGACUUGGUUUUGGUUAUGCUAUAAUAUAACUAAUCUACAAGUUUUCUUCAUCAGUUAAUAUUUAUCUGGUUGACACAUGGAAAGAUAUAUCAGUUAUAAUUUAUAUUUAUCUCUUUCUGUUUUAUUUUACAUUUGUUCAGUUGACUAAAUGCUUCUUAAUUUUUAUGUUUAUAUUUGUAUGCAUUUGUCUUCAUGCAUGCUCUCAUUUGCUUGUUCAUUAAGUUUUCAUGAUUCUUGCUUGAGAGGGAAAUGUUUUUGGCUUAUGUUUAGCAUUUGAGCUGAAGUUUGGUAAAGUUGCUAAUAUUUUCAGGUUGGAAAGAAUUAUCUCUGCUCUGAGUGGAAGCAAGAGCUAAUCACCUUCUCUCAGUUUCUUGAGAGGAUCUGGUCCACUUACAGUUCUGCCAACAUGACAUACCUAGCUCAGCAUCCCUUGUUCGAUCAGGUUUCUCAGUCAUUUUCUAAUGCUAAAUUUCUGCACCAUGUUAGGACUGUAUAGUAGUAAAAUAGUGAUUUUUGAUUUUUGUCACUACUGACUCUUUAAAUUUAGAUACAAGAGCUGCGCAAUGACAUCAUGAUUCCAGACUACUGUUUUGCUGGUGGCGGGGAGCUCCAGUCUCUAAAUGCUUGGUUUGGUCCACUUGGAACAGUGACACCACUGCACCAUGAUCCACACCAUAAUCUUUUUGCUCAGGUAUAUUGAGAUAACCAUGAUAAACAUGGUAACUGAUAUUUGACAAUGUUAUAACUUUAAAUACUUUAUAUUCAUAUUGUUAGACCUACUAGAUUGCUCCUGGUACUUAUUGCCCUUAGAGUGAUUCCAUUGAAAAUUUCUUUUUUCUGGUUGUUCCUAGUAAAUGUAACCUUCUUCUAGGUUUAGUAAAUUGUCAAGUAAAAAUAGUUUCCUGAGUCAUUCUCAUUGAUCUUGCACUGUGUAGAAUUUUAGACAGCAGUAACAGUGAAAUGAAUCUUUGUCAUCGUGAUGCUUCAUGGAAGGCACAGGAUCACACAUUUGUGCACAAUAAUGCAGAAGACAUCUCCCUCAUUUGUAUUGCAUACAUUCUGAAUUCAACUCUAAUUUAUGAUUUUUUUUUUUUGGUCACUAAGAAACAUUUAGAAUUCACUUAAGGAAGCUGGGAUUUGCAUGUGCUUUUGUUUACUGUGACCAUUGCAAAAGCAACAUGUAUCUUGUCUAUUUGGGAAUUGGGAUCAACUUGAUAAAUCCUUUCCUAUUGUUCUUAUUGUAAUCACUUUUCAAAUAUGCAAACAUUUGGGUUACUAAUAUAUGCUAUAUAAAAGUCUUGGUUCAGCCAUAUGUUUUGUUUACCACCCUAGAGGUGAAUUGGAAGUUGGAACCAGAGCUUUUCCCAUUAGGGAGGCCAAAAUAUGCAUUUGCUAAAAAACAACAAGUUAUUACAUGAUUCAUCAUGGAAAGUAAUAAACUGAUGUUGAGGUAUAUUCAUUCUGUUAUCAUCUCUUGCUUAUAUUUCUUCUAGACCAUCUCCAUAUUGUUGUCAACCACCAUAAUUGGCACUUUGGAAAAUAGGGGCAUUUUUGGUUAUAUGCCUCUGCAUUAUUAAUAUUAGCGUCAAAUUGGGUGCUGAUGUGUUUUUCCAGCUGUUAAAGUAUAACAAAACUAUAGCCUUUGCAUGGGUUCAUCUAACUGAAGACUUGCAAUUUUGUGGCACCCAAGAGCAUUGCAGGUGUAGGAAAUUCGAUGCACAUGUUUCUGCUGUGGAUUAAUUUCUCAAUUCUGACAGUGCUCCAUAAAUUUUUCAAUUCUGAUUUGCUUCCAGUAUUCGCAGUUCUUGCAACAGUUGUAAGCCAAUCAUUCUUAUUUUGUGCAUGAUUCUUCUGAAGUUCAACAUCUAAGUUCUAUAGAAUCUCUUUGAGGGUCCCAUUUGCUUCAUUUUUCCCAAACCCACAUGCCAAUACUUGUGAAUGAUUAUGACAACAUUGUAUAUGUUCUUACGAGGGUGCUAGACAUGCCCUCUUUAUUUUUCAUUUUUAAUUUUUUCCUGAAUUAGAGUGAUAUUUCAUCUUUGAUACUUGCUAAUAAAAAAUUGUCUCAAAUCUUUGUUCUGGUGGAUCCAGUAGAAAGAGGCUUUUAGUCUUUUAUCAACCAAAUGGAACCAUGUUCUGUGAUCAGAUCCAAUAUGUUGCGUAUGCAGCAAACUACUUUGAAAUAUUCUGUCAAGCAUUUACUAGUUGAUUCCUACCAUUAUGUAAAGAAAAUUCAAAAACUUAUAUUUAUUAUUCUGGAUCCAUUGAUAAUAUGCUAUAUGUUAGGGAAGGUGAUGACAUGUCCGGUGUCUUGCCAGAGGGUUGAUUAGGUUUGCUACUGAGUUGUCAAGCAUUCCAUAGACUGCUGAUGGAGUUGCCAUUGAGAUGUACUUUUACCACAAAUGAUCAACCUGCUGUGACUGCCUAGUUGAUAGGAGCAAGUGAUGCCCUAGUGUUUCAACUGGCGCUCCUUAUGCUCAUAGUUGUAUAUAAUAUAAAGUGCUGUUUUUUUAAUUUAUAUUUUGACUACCGGUAAUCAUCAAUGUGAUGUGCAAAUGAAGCUGAAACCAAGCCGUUGCUUGUUAGUAAAGGAAAAGAAAGAGUGGUUUUUCACUCAUGCUUGCCUGCUUGUCAUAAAAUCAUUUUUGAAUAGUUUCGUGUAUUCUUCCUCAUUUUCUUUUGCUUCCACAUUUGUUUUCAAUUGUCUUCUUCUCUUUCACCAUUUAUUUUGUAUUUUUAGACCCCUUAGCUCCUCUUCCUCCUGCCAAGUUCAUGAUGUCUGGCAAGAACAAAGCACAGGUUGAGACAUCGUAGGACCUCCUUUAAUGUCCAAAAGAGUUUAUCAUCAUGUUCUUCUUAUCUUGGAAGGAGACAUUUGGAUUAAUAUAUUUUGGGAAGAGAUUCCUAUCUUAGUCCCCUGCAUUUUGUGCAUUCCCUUGAAAAGAUGCAUGUGUAAUGCAUGGUAGAGAGCCCCACAAGUAGGUGAUAUCCACUAAUUUUUUAGAAACAUCCUUUUAAAAGAUUUCUCCAAGAAUAAUUAGCGACAAUUAAUCCUCUAUGUUAAUUGUCAAGUAAUACCUCAAGACUGCAUGACAAUUCAUGGAUCCCUUAAAAAUGCAGCAUGCAUAUUUUGUAGUGGACUUGUCCUGGUCGGUUAGAAUGGCAACAUCUGUGUUAAUCCCACGAAAAUUAUGUCCUGGAUAAUUUGAUUGGCAAUGCUCAUCAUAAGGUUAGAUGAAAGUUGUCAAACACAUGUUUUUCUUUAGCAUGCUGUUCAAAAUUUCAUUAAUUGGUAAUCCAAGCAUAAUAAUCAUCAUAGCUUAAAAAGGUGUGUCUCAGUUCAUCCACCAACUAGCUGAUCAAGAAAUACUGAGCCCAUGUGAGCUUUAUCUCAGUUCCUAACAUGUUAACAAAAAACUGAUAUAAAGGUGCUACGAAUUGUUAAAUCAUAAUUUGUGCUGGUGCAGCUAGCGCCCAAAGUGCUUAACGAAGUGACAUCUGGGCAAUCUGAUUUGUGUUUUCAUAUUUUCUUUCCAUAUAAAUUGUUGGAAGGUAGGCACAUCAACACUUGAGACUUAUUGUUCUCUUCUUUUUCCUGAUAUAUAUGUAUAGGUUGUGGGCAGAAAGUACAUUAGACUCUAUCCAGCUUCAGUUUCAGAGGACUUGUACCCUCAUAGUGAGUCCAUGCUGAGCAAUUCCAGCCAGGUAUAUGCAGUUUCUCUUAGCAUCUCUUAGAAAGAACUAGGGAUGAUGGUGUUGAUCUUCAAACAAGAAUGGCAAUUAUCCCCAUAUAAUUUUUGUCUUUGAAUCCCGGUAAAGGGCAUGACUUUGUUCUGUUGUGAACUUUUCCAUUGGACAAUGCUCUACUUCUCCAAUACAGAUGAAGCAUUUAUAUGUGUUAACAUAAAUAUGAACAUGCAAAGUCUAGUUUAUCUUUUAGAUAAGAACUGUGUUAGUAGUUUUGAUAUAUAGCGUUUGAAGCUUGUGUCGUUGGAACUUGGCACUAUUUCUGGAGACUAUCUUUCAAAGAUUUUUCCCCACCAAACAUAAUUAAUCAUGUGCAGACCACUCUCACCUCUUCGUAAAAUCAGUUUAUAUACCAUAUCCAAAGAUUGUUUCCAAGUUUUUUUUUUACAGUGUUCUGAUUUCUGAUGAAAUUAUACUUGCAGGUGGACCUUGACAAUAUUGACCUGAAAGAGUUCCCUAAGGUAGAAGAUCUGGACUUCACAGAUUGUAUCUUAGAGGAAGGUGAUAUGCUUUACAUUCCACCCAAGUGGUGGCAUUAUGUGAGGUCACUUUCCACAAGCUUCUCUGUUAGUUUUUGGUGGAGUGGCACAGGGCCAUCAUAGUGUUUAUAGUAGUUGUCUUAUAAUUUUCCAUACCAUUUGCCUUACGGGUAUUGGACAUCCAAUGAUAGAAAUUUAGAACCUCAUUCUACCCACUAUUUGCGAUCCAUCAUCAUGGGAACGUCAUGUUAACUUAUACAUGGUUGUUUUUGUCUACUGAUUGAAGAAAAUAUACCAUAACAAACUUUCUAGUUAUCAAACAUUUCUUCUACCUGGUUAACAUUUGAUGUAGCUUUUUGCUGCCAUGACUUACUGAGGCAAGAGAAUCGCUUCCUGUAACCAGUUCAAUCUGCAUUAAUCCAUUUCAAAUUGAUCUAUAAAGAUGAAUGAUGCAUCUGACGAGAAAAAAAAUCGAUAUGUUUUGUUGUGGGGUGGGGGGCAUUUUUUUUCCCUUCAUUUUUUGAAAGGAAACAGAAGUAAAGGAAGAGAGAAUUACAUAGAAGAAAAAGAAAGAAAAAGGAUUAGAUUUGAUCUAAUCCGAAAACAAGUAAAGUUUAGAAACAAAGAGACCCAAGCCAAUACCAAAUAAUGGAUGCAUCAAGUAGUUGUUUUUAGGAACAAAGUAUAGACCUGCUGUUAGAGAGCACGGUUGUUCAUUAAUGUGAUUCAGGUGAAAUGAUUUUGUUCAGAAAUAUUCUUGCUCUCCCUCUAACAAUUAUAAAAGCAGACAAAUUUUCCCGACACGGAGCUGAAAUUCUUUGAAUGGUAGUUUCUUCUCCAGGUAGUCAAACGCCAAUGUGCAUUAUUUAGCUAGGCCAGGAGUGAUUGCCAAAUUUGACGAAUAACAGAAUUUAAGGAAGAUUCCGCGGUCUUAUUGUAGAAGGCACAACCUCCUGAGUUUGAUCCAGUUUUCUUCUUGAGAUUUUCUUUGUUGCUGAGUUUGUUUGAAGAUGAAACACAGAAAAUUAUUAUGUUGACAGAGACAAGGAUGGGGCUUCUCUACAGAAUAAAUGCAAAGGGACAUUUCAAGCCUCCUACUGUAAUAGUCAUAUGGUGAAGCUGUGAUGAACUGGUAUGAGAUAUUACUUUGCAGAGGUGGUUGCCCUAACCUGAGAUAGAAUAUCCAUCAAUGAGAUGGGUUCUUGCUGCAACUCAAUGUGCAGAGGAUGAGAGACCUCUGUGCUCCAUGAGAUUUUUCUGUAGCUGCCAUUGCGUUAAGACCUUCCUCAUUUUGUUUCAGCCUAUUCCAGAAGGGUGGAAGGGAAGAAAAUAUGCCUUUCCAGACUGGCAAUACUCUUGUCCUAACUAGAAAAUAUGAUGCAAUUCUAAUUUUUCUAUGAUAAGCUCAUUGAAUUUGUGUCCUCUAGAUCCUCUUUUGACUUGCAAAUUGUCUUCCAAUUGACUAAACAAGAUAAGCCUGAAGUUGAACUUUCAAAGAAAAGCUUUUCUGUGUUUAUCCAACCUCCUAAGGGCCCCAAGUGGUAACUUGUAGAUUGAUAUAAAAUAAUGGAGGAGUGCGGUAAGAAUGGCAUGGACCUAUGUUAGUCUUCCAAGCAAAAAGAAGAAUUUGGACACGUUUGGUUCACAGGAAAAAGAGAGGGAAACGUAUGGUAAUACGAAAAUGCAGAAUGACAUAAUAUUUGGUUGGAGUUUUUCCAGAAAACCAACUUAAUUAUUAAUUAGGGACUGCUAAUCAGUUUAGUGAGCUGAUGUGGAGAGUGGAUGGCUCAGACGAGAUAGAGGUCGCUUCUUUAGUCCGCAGUUCAUCCAGCCGGCACACCUCUAAGAAGCAAUGGAUUAAUUUAAGCAGGCUGUAGAGAAGAUCAACGUGUCAUCUGCGUAAUUGAGGAUCUUUAUGCUGUCUUGAAUACUCAAGGACUGCCAAGUCCUCCAACUAACUCUUUCAUGCCAGCUUCAUGGAAGAUUGGGUUGAGAGGAUCUACUAAGAAGAAAGGCGAGAGGGGAUCGUCUUACACCCUAAGUACAUUGAAACUAAUUUUAAAUAAUUUUAAAUUUCCCCAUUAACAUUAACCACAAAUAUCAAGGAACUUGGAAUGUUUGGGACCCACAUAAUCCAUCCAGAUGGGAAAUCUUUGUAUCUGAUAACUUAUAGAGAUAAUCAAGAUCCAAUUUAUCAGAAGUUUUCUCAGAGUCAAUUUUGUACCUCAUCCCAUCAAAUAGACUUUUUCCUGCUGAAUAAGGUAUCAUGAGUACCUAGGAUGUUAUCUGUAUCUUUCUUUAAUCAAUUAGCGAAUUUAAGUGGGGGAAGAGUCUGUUCACUAAGAUCUUAAAGAUGACCUUAAUACAGCUACAAAUGAGGCUGAUGGGACGAUAAGCAGCCGGUGGGGUUUCCUGAGAGGGGAAGCAUGCAUGAAACCUCUCUCCCUCCCUCUCUCAACUUUGAUGUGAUACAAAGCAGGAGAGCAUUGCUAGUGCAACUCAGAGAUCUCACUGGGGAAACAGCACAACCCGUCUCUGUGACACUUCAUUCAGCUGUUCCUUUUAAACUGACCGACGCCUCUCCUUACUUUCUCAACUAAUUUGAAUUGCAUUAGCCUUCAUCACUUCUAUUCGGGAAGAGCAAUGAUGUGGAGAUGGAUUCUGUUUUUAUUUUUAUUUUUUUCUCAACUUUGUGUGGUGGGAACUGAAGGUGGAACUCUGCUUUUAUGAAAUGUAGUCUUGCUGGUCUGCCUCUUUAGUUUUUGUUCGAUGUAGCAUUCAAUUUGAUAGCAAGGAUUCGCUAGUGAGUAAGAACAUUUAGGCAUUCCUACUUCACGAGACGUGCCAAUGAAAUCUUUUGACAUUCUGGCCCCAAGAUGGGCACCUUUUGGUGAGGCACUUGGGCCUCGGCCUUAUUUCAACCCAUUCAUCGACCCCUCUCCAUCCGUUGGCUGGAUCUGUGAAUUUUGUGGACCCGCUUAAUCCGUGUUUGAUGUGAUCUAUUUUUUAAUUUACUAGUUGACUGUGCAUGUUAAAAUGUCAUGCUGGCGUUCCUUGCCCUACAGCUAGUUGUAAUCGGGUUGUGAAAUAAUUAGCAAGCAAAUCUAUUAACUCACUUGCUGACUAAGGAUCAUACCUUUUUUUUUUUUUCAGAAAAAAAGUUUUUGAGUCUGUUAUUUGGGCUGUUUUUCCCCCCUAGGAGUGAUAAUUGGAUUUUCAUUUUGGUAAAAUUAAUUUAUUAAAUCAAUUGGGAAUAAAAAUAUCUGUAGAAUCGGCAAAUAAGAUAUUAAAAAAUUUAGAAGAAACAUCUAACCAUGUUGUCCAACAUGUAUGGAGCCCAUGUGAUUAGCCACAUACGUCGCUAUCCAAUUUAUAGUAUUUUUUUGCUUUAUCAUAAAUAUAUUUAAUUUUAAAAAUUAUUCAGCUAUCCUCAUUUCCCAACAAUCCUGCCAAAGUGAAUGGUGACCCUAAUUGGAUCUUUUUAGGGAUAGGAGUGAGCUUCCUCUAGUUUUAUGGUACCUUAAAGCUUAUUUCUUAAUAUUUUUAUUAUAACUAUUACUAUCAUCAUCAUCAUCAUUAUUAUUUAUUGGAAACGAAUUUUCUUAAAUUUCUUUGAUGACCAUAUUUUGUUAUCUCAAACGAACAUGUGCAACGAUCAAAGGCAGAUAGCUGGGAGAAGCAAGUCCACAGGAAUAAAGGUAAUUAUUUGCAAGCCUUGUUACCAUCUGAUGGAUACAAAAACCCUCCACUUCUUUUAAUCCUGCUCCCUUUCUGAGGACAGGCGGCCAGUCCUCUUUCCUCGGAUUAUUCGACUUGCAUAAAUUUUCAUGUUGUGCUGUGCUAAUUAAAGUUACCCAUUGCCAAGGAAAAAUGAAGCAAGCAAUCGGCUAAUAAAAACAAAGAUAGCUUGGGCUACUAACCUCACUUUGAGCGUCCUUUUUUAGGUUACUUGAACGAGGCUUAUUCUCAACUAGUAAAAUUUAGUUUGUGCAGACAAGCUUAGUCACAACCUUAAUCAGGAAUGCAAUAGUUACCAAGUCGACCCUAAAUUUUUAAGGGAACCUUCAUUUAAUGAAAAUACGCCAAUGACCACUAUCUAGUUUCUCUCUUUCCCAAAAAACAUGAAUUUGUAUGUGUUAGCGAGUUCUUUGACUAAAUUUGCAACCAGAUUAUGAAUGUGCUUGCUUAAUCCUGCAUGCUAUUGAGAACUGGAAGCGAUCUGUACUAGGUAUAAUGCGUUCCACCGAGUAAAGUAAAGCGAUCCAUCUAAAUUCGAUAAACUAUUCAAUGCAACUCAACCUUUUUCUCUGACUCAGAUGGCUGGGAGCAUUGGUAUAUGUGGGAAAUGACCCAAGUCGUUUGGGGAAGGUAGGGGAUGUCAGUUCUUUAAAAUGGAGGGCUCUGAUAGCUAGUAAAUGGCGUUUUCGAGAGCCCAUUGAUUCCUGUUCGGAGGCCCAUGUCAAUAUGUCCUUGGAUGCUUUUGUUCUCAGCAUCUAGCUAAAGUGGUGAUAAGAGUCAAGAAGUUUGAAAGAGAGCCACUGUGUUACAACCGGAAAGGCCCUUGAAGGUCCCAGGCAAAGGCUAGUGUACCUGCAACCUUACCACUCGAAUGCAGAGAAGAACAAAAAGUUGGAGGAGCACAUGAUGGCAAUUGGUGAGAAACAGGAA
rnacentral:lncRNA from 1 species